ACCGGCCAGGUGACGGUGUUCUGGGGACGGAACAAGGCCGAGGGCUCCCUGCGUGAGGCCUGCGACUCCGGUAUGUACACCAUGGUCACCAUGUCCUUCCUCGACGUCUUCGGCGCCAACGGCAAGUACCACCUCGACCUCUCCGGCCAUGACCUCUCCUCCGUCGGCGCCGACAUCAAGCACUGCCAGUCCAAGGGCGUCCCUGUCUCCCUCUCCAUCGGCGGCUACGGCACCGGCUACUCGCUGCCGUCCAACCGCUCCGCGCUCGACCUCUUCGACCACCUCUGGAACUCCUACUUCGGCGGGUCCAAGCCGAGCGUCCCCCGCCCCUUCGGCGACGCGUGGCUCGACGGCGUCGACCUCUUCCUGGAGCACGGCACGCCGGCGGACCGCUACGACGUGCUGGCGCUGGAGCUGGCCAAGCACAACAUCCGCGGGGGCCCGGGGAAGCCGCUGCACCUGACGGCGACGGUCCGGUGCGGGUACCCGCCGGCGGCGCACGUGGGGCGGGCGCUGGCGACGGGGAUCUUCGAGCGCGUCCACGUGAGGACCUACGAGAGCGACAAGUGGUGCAACCAGAACCUUGGGUGGGAGGGCUCGUGGGACAAGUGGACGGCGGCGUACCCGGCCACCCGGUUCUACGUCGGGCUCACGGCGGACGACAAGUCCCACCAGUGGGUACACCCCAAGAACGUCUACUACGGCGUCGCGCCGGUGGCGCAGAAGAAGGACAACUACGGCGGCAUCAUGCUCUGGGACCGAUACUUCGACAAGCAGACCAACUACAGCAGCUUGAUCAAGUACUACGCCUGAGCUCCUGUACUUCCACAAGCCACGCUUCUUGCAUCACCGUCGGUUUGAUCCUGAUGUACUGUUGCAAACGAGAACAAAGUGAGGCUUGUACUUGGAUAUAAUAAAUAAAUAAUUGAACAGUUGGUCGUACAGAUCUCUGGUUUAAUCAUCAACUCCAUCACUUAAUUGCUUGUGUUUUUAUCUGUAGUUGAGUGAUACUUCCUCCAUCUCAAAAUAAGGCCCUGUUUGGAGGGACCAUCUCAAAAUAAGGCCCUGUUUGGAUCCCUCCGCUCCCCAACUGCAGCUCUAAGUGUCUUAAUUUUGUACUAAUUUAGUAUCUCAACUUUGUGCUACCUUUAAUACAAAAUUGUACGGAGGGAGUAUGUUACAACUGUGCCUUCACUUGUCAAGUACCGCUUAGCGAAUUUGCGGAACAAACUCUUGUCAUCUUUUGCGAUUAAAAAUGGCACAAACGCUCACUCAUGUAUGUAAUUUGUCAACAAGUACUAGCUGGUAAUUUUGACAUGCAAAAUCAUCAGUUUGCAGGAUUUACCAUCUCUUUGGCAUGCAAACCAUCAGGUUUAUAUACAAACAUUUUGCAGCAGUUUCCACUUCCGCAUAUUUACAGAGUAGCAGUACACAGUAAGAAAUCAACUCAAGCGGACAAUUCUCUCUCAAGAUUAAAUUGUAUACAUGCUUCUGAAUCUUUAAUCAUUUCUUGAACAUAAAGCUCUCUCUGAGGAUAUCCGCAGCUAAUAUAAGUAGCUCCAACAUCUCCAUGCUAGCGGAACCAAGGGGGUCCGCCUUUUCGGAUUUUGAUGAUUUAGGCGAGCCUGAAGUGAUACCACCUGAUGAAUCCCCUGACCAGCUUACUGGGAGAACGACGCCCAGAGCCGUUCUCAUAAGGUUCGCUUCUGUUAUAAGACUGCUCAGUGCUUCAUAACUACUCUCCAAAGAACAGCCGGAUUUGACAUCAUCAUAUACCUGACAAAAAAUGGUUAGGACACAAAAAAUGGGUAUCACAUAUUACUGCUAAAGCUAAUAAUUCAAUUAAAGAAAAAUGCCCUACCUUCAUAAGCACUCUGUGCAGCCUAUGAACCAAAGAAGUGAGAUGUUCCAUAGUAGCAACACUUUCCAAAAGGGUAGCAUUUUCAACUUUCAUCCUGUCAUAAAGUAGCAUGAAAUUUAAAAAAUUCACAGAACAAAAUUGUAAGUGCAGAGAAGAUUAUGGCAAAAAUAGUCUAGGAUGCAGCAUAUUGGGGUCAUAUUUAGCUAAUAGAAAGACUAAGUUUGAUGGGAAUGAACCAAAAAAGUAAUUUGUGUGUAUUAUCACAAACCUUGAUAGAUCUACUGAGCACCCUCUACACACUGUCUGAUCAUUUCCACGAGAGCUCUCAUGCCCAGUAUUAUUUUCCUUUUUUAUCCAUUGUCUUAGAGAUGUUCUGUUAAGAAUAGUCUUCAGCAUCCCUUGUUGGUCAUGCCCAGAAGUGAUUUUUGGAGUAUCAACAAUACCAUGACCAUCAUUUGCAGUAGAGCUGCUGUAUAAGAAGAAAAUAUAUAUAUAGUGAUAAGAAGAAGAAUGUAUAUUACACCCAGGAAAAGGUACUCAAAAUGUUAAGUAAAAAUCACAAACAUGAUCCAGUAUGAUGAUUUGCUGCACAUAAACCUUACCAUUUCAGGAGAUAAGCUUCUUUCAGUUUUGCUAACUCCAUCAGGACCUUCACCUUUUCAUCUUUAACCUGUAUAGAACAGAUGCAAGCAAGUUACGAGAUGUGCAUCCGAUGUUGCAUGCUCUAGUAUGUACCCUUAAGAUAAACUUCUAAGAUGCUGUGAAGAGAAGAGUCCAAGAGGAAAAUAGACAAACAGAAUGGCCUAUUUGCAUACUAAAUCCAGCUUCAUCCGUGCCUCUAUAAAGUCCUUGAUAUUUGCUGGAGCGUUAAUUGCAAAAUAAUGUAAGUUUUUUGCACUAGCUCCAAACAUGUGAUACACUGAAGGUGUUGAACAGAUCUAAUUGUUUCAUAGACCAUCAUAGUAAUAAUCGUUAACCAGUGUUAAUGGUGUAGUCCUUGCAUCUAUGUAAACUAGCCACGCGUCUGUGUACGCCAAUGAACUCAGUCAAAUUCAAAACACCAUCGGAGGUCGACAACUAGUCGAGCCUUUGGUGACAUGGCUAAACAAGUACGGUAGACCUAGCUCUCACAGUUGUGCAUUGACUGCUGCCGAUGCUGAACAGCAGCCGGCUCCGGUCCGGUUCUACAAUAGGACUUCACCAGAUUUUACCCUAACAACCACACCUCUAAUUUUGCAUUUCCAGAAAAUACUGAUUCUAGUAGGAAAAAAUGGACUGACAUAAUAUUCGUGACAGUGUCACAUGAAAUUUCUCCAUAUACUUUACAAUUUAAAGCACUCAGCAUAACUCAAGAUUCAUAAGACUGUAAAGAUUGUAAAAGGAAAAUAACGGCCAUCAAAAGUGUAGGAAAUACUACUUGAGAUAAGUUCUUCUGAAGGUCCUCUAUAAUAGCUUGGUUCUUCUGUUUUUCCAACAGGUAUCUUUCUUGUUCCUGUGAGAAAAGCAUAAGCGCCUCCAUCUGUGGUAGAUUUCAACAUAAUGUGAGAUUAUUUAAUAUAAAGAAAGGCCCAUAUGAGAAUUACAAGCAGAAAGAAGCACCAGGAUAACGCUGUACCUUCUCCUGCAAAGUUUGAGCAAGUGCUUUUGAAUCAUCAAAUGUUGUAGAAUAACCUGUAGGAACAUCACCCUACAAUAUACGCAAUAACAAGUUACGUCAUAUAAGUGUAAAGAGAAUUGUGACGUCCAGUCUUCAGGGAACUACUCCCUCUGAUCCUUUCUAGAUGUACUCCCUCCGUUCCUAAAUAUAAGUCUUUCUAGAGAUUCUAAUGUGGACUACAUACGGAGCAAAAUGAGUGAAUCUACACUCUACAAUAUACAUCCGUAUGUAGUCUUUCUUAAAAUCUCUAAAAAGACUUGUAUUUAGGAACGGAGGGAGUAUUAAUUUUUGAGUUAAUUACACUUUUGAUACAUGCACUUGCCCUCGAUGUACAGAUUCAUACAUAAACUUGAAAAAUGGCACAAAUCUGUUCUACAACUUGUGUUUCGGAUACGUUUAAGUACAUUUCCAUCGUUUACCGUUUACUCUACAUGCCAGGUGGCCCACACUCCAUAUGUGCGUGUGGGUCCCACCUGUCAGUGUCAUAGAAAGAAAUAGAAACGUAGCAAAAAGCAAUUCAACCAGCAGAACUCGAACUUGCGACGUCGCGUAGCGAGCUUCAGGCGUUAGCCAGUGCACCGGAUGCAUUUGUUGUUAGUACGAACAUACGGUCCAUUAUAUAUUUUAUUAGGUAAAUUGAUUCAAAUUCAGAAUGUGUAUUGCACGGGAUUUACUGCGUGCGUGCGUUUUUCAUCUCCGUUUUUCCCCGGUCGACCGGUUAUCAAAAAUUUAGGUGAGCCCCAAAUGUUUUUGAUAUCGUUCAAAAAAUUAUUUAUUUUCAAUUUAAAAGGUCAGAUAAUGUCAAAUAGAGCUCGUAUUCAUAUGUUUUCACAUUAAAAAUAAUCUUCCAAGUGAUAAGGCGCACGAAACAUCUUACAAAAACUGGACCUUUCCAGAGUUACAUUCAACAUUCUUUAUAAGAAAAAAUGGACGAGGCACCAUAGCAAUGCCUUGAACCCGCACCCCUCUGAAUAAACAAGUGAAGCUGGCCGCUAGAACAGGAGGCAGAAUUUGUCAUAUAUGGGGUUAAAAGGAAUAUAUGUUUACACUAAAAAGAUUGAAUUCAAAAUUGUUUUGAAAUUUUGAACGAAAAAUCCCAAAACCUCUGAGUUUUUCGGAAACUGUUUUUUCCGGUCCCUCCCGGAAUAAAACCUCUGAGUUUUUCGGAAACUGUUUUUUCCGGUCCCUCCCGGAAUAAAACCUAAAAAGAGUUUUAAAAAAUAUUGUUCGAACCCCUUGUGCAGCGCCUAUUUGGCUUCAGAUCAAUUGUUUCCUUGCUAUCCAAAAAGUUAACUAUGUGUAACACUAACAAAUAGUAGCAGGUGGUGUAGUGGUUGGCUUCUGGAGCGUGAUAGGUAACGCGCCGAGAUAGAUUCCUACUGUGCGCAAUUGUUUUGCUAUAUUUUUAUUUGUUUCUUUCUUUGGCACUGACAGAUGGGCCCUAUGCGCAGGUAUUGAGUGUGGGCCAACUGGCAUGCAGAGUUUAACGGAGUGUUGAUGGCAAACGACAGAAAUGUACUUGAAUGUACCUGAAACACAUUGUAUGACCGAUUUGUGUCAUUUUUCAAGUUUAUGUAUGAAUCUGUACAUCAAGUGCAAGUUUAUGUAUCAAAAGUGUAAUUAACUCUUAAUUUUUUUCAAAAGUCAAAUUUCUCUAUCCUUCACCAAGUUUCUAGAAAAGAUGUAACAUCUAAAAAAAGGAAUCGGUACUAUUAGAUACAUCAUGAAAUUUAUUUUCAUAUUUUCUUUAUUUAGUAUUGUACAUAUUGGUAGUCUUUUCUAUAAACUUGGUCAAGGAGAGAAAAGUUUAACUUCUGAAAAAAAAUACACCUUAUAAAAGGAACGGAAGAGUAGGCAAAGGAUGUUGUGUAUUAUUCAAACAAUACUCAUGUAUUACCUCUGUCCCAAAUGUUUUUACUUGGAGUUGCAAAAAUCAAUCCCAAAUGCUUUUGGAAUUGAUUUUGCAUAAGAAAGGGUAUGCCAAAUUAGUUCCAACGCGCCCAACUAAAAUACAGUACUACAGUAUUACUUGAGUAAUGUGCAGCAUCCUUUGCCUUUAAAAAAAUGAACCCCCGAAAAACAGGAUGUUACAAGAAAUGUUUUCUUCGGGAAAAAGAGGGGAACACAUCAACAAAGUACCUAUCUAAAAAAAGCAAGGACAUGGUAUCUUGCUUACACAAGAUAAAUAGUCGAUCUGAUUUAAAUGUAAAAAAGAAGUAUGCCAACCCAGGAUAUAUUCAUUAAGGUGUUCUGGAGAUUUGACACUAUUAAGUAAUUUAUCAAUUUCUUCACAAGUUACACUAUAACUCGUGAGCACAAAUCUAGAUCGAGGAAAAGGUUCCGAGAGGAAGUGGUUCCGCAUAAAAGCAAGACUUGAGAAAGUUCAUUAUGUUCUGAACAAACCUUGGGGAUGGUUUCAGGGCCAAUAUCCAUAGUAACAUGCACGUCUUUACAACUACUGUCACAGCAUUGCAUCUUCUCAACAGGGUUACCAAUGAUCUCAGCAUUGAUGCAAAUUUGAGUUAACUUGUCUUGAAUCUCAUUAACAGCCGUGCUUAACAGAAGUGAUUCUUCUUCCAAUAUUUUCAUAAUUUCAGCCCUUUGAUGUGUAUAGACUUUUUGAAGAGCUGACAGACCAUCUCUCAUAAGAUCAUCAUUGAGUGCCUGCAUUCCGAAGUGUAUACAUCAUUAAGCGCAUUAAGGUGCAUUUCAUCAUUGAGCGCAUUAAGGUGCCGUCAGAAAAAAAAAUGAUAUGAUAAGUUGAAUUUUUGUACCUGUUUCUUUUCCAGUGUUCGUACAUUUCUUUGCAAGUGCUGUUCAAUUUCGAAACUCUGGACAUCCAAAUGACAGAUCUCUUAGGAAAGCCGAAAAACUAUUUGUCUCUGCUAUGGAUAAACUUAACUUACCAUUCUUAGAUUGCUUUGCAGCUUAGAUAUUUUAGCUUUAAGCGACUCAUUCUCCUGUUCUAGAGAUGCCUGCAUAAAAAAGAUCAUUGAAUGUGUAUAAAACUAGAAACAAUAAAAUUAUUGAAACUGUCAAGUAACAAAAAGAAGUUUGCUGGUUUGCCGCUUGUAAAGAAGCAUACAAGGCUUAUGUUAUUAAUUUAUCUAUUUAUUAAUGUUGCCCAAUCAGAACGUCUUACUAAGUUUAACUGAUUAUGUCUAUACCAUACUUCGGUACAUUCCACUAUUCCAGCCAUUUAAAUAUAUAAUAAUGCAGAAUGUGGAAACUUCUACACUACCAGUGGAGCAUCGAUUUUGCAAAUGAGAAUUUUUGACAGCCAGGUCCUUUUGUAUAUCUGAGACCACAUUGCUUAAUUUAGGCAGAGAGGACAUGAUCAUCUCUAGCAGAGUCGAACCUAUAAAUAGAAUAACUAUUUACUUACAAUCCUGAAAACCAUCAGACAUGCAACUACUUUGUAAUUUCUGUCUCCGCGUAAGGUGCUGUAAUUUAUACUAGAGAAAGCUAAAGUUCAAAGUAGAGAUGCUUCCUAUUAGAAUUUUAGAAAAACGUGAUAACUGACAUCAAAGUUUAACACGUCCCUAUCUUUUGCAUUUCUUAGGUUCCCAAAAUAAACUUAACCAGACAAACAUAUCCUACAAUAGUGGAUUAUAAAAAUUCAACAGAAGUAUUAGAUACUCCCUCCGUCCCAAAAUACUAAAUCGGCGACGCUUAUUUUGGGACGGAGGGAUUAUAUUUUAAACUGGAAGAACAGUGAAAAAUUAAAACAUAUCAAUCUGCAAGCGAAUUAUUAUCUCUCAUGGAUAAAGUGAUUUAAGUUUACAAUGUACUUCGAAGUUGAGGUUUCGCCAUCCAGGUUGAAACUCCAACUGUCAGCAGAAUCAUCUAGAAGAAUUGAGCAUUUCUCUUCAAAAGUAAUGUUUGAAGGGCAUUCACAUUCCCUCGAACGAACUUCAUAGAAUUUUUUAAUAACCUGAAACAGAAUCAAACAUCAAACUCCCAGUCAAGAAAGGAUCAAUUCUGAUAUAUACUGGGCGGUGCAAAUGAUGCGAACUGAACACGUCAAAUCAGCAUGAAAGAGGGCAGAUCCCAAUUGGAUUUUUUUUAUCUAAAAUAUACCGAGUGUAGAUGGCGAGGUACAGACAACCACAUAGAUUAGAAAUAAAAAAUAUGCAGUAGGUCAAGGAAAUUAUUUUACACUCAGGAGUCCAUCAAAAACACUCAAUAAUAUACGUCCUACUUAGUGAAAUUUACAUUAGAAAGUUGGAUGGGAAAAAUGGGCUAGACUACUUAAAUCCUGACAUUAUUCAGGAUUUUGACAGUAAGCCAUAUUUUGCAUUUCGUUUUUCAUUCUCUCGUUGGGCCCACUACUCAGUGACACAGCCCAGUGGCAAAAAUUAAAUGCACAAUGGCAAAAGUAAAAUUUACAGACUUAUAGUGGUAAGAUUUUCCCUUUAAAUCCUUCAUUGAACAGAAAAAUUUACCAGAUAAUCAUUGUCGACACAGCAACACAAAACAUGCACACAUCCAAGAGAGAUUUAGGAUGCUCUUUUAGUUCUCAACUAAAAUCUGGUACUUUUUCAGUAUAAAAAAAAAAACCUUUUAAGUGAACUUGCACAGAUUUAUGCUGGUAGUAAUGGCAAUAAGAAUCAAAAGCAUGCUUACAUUCAAGGAAGAUUCUGUAUGCGCUUUUAGUUCUGUCAACUCCAUUUGCAGGGCAUCGUUCAAACGUUUCUGAUCUUCCAUUGCAGUUUGAUAUUCUCUCGUCCUGCCAAUUAACAAUCAUGAUACUCUGCACUUAUCUGAAAGGUGCAGCAAAUCUAGGACAUUCUCCAUUCAGUUGUCGAAUGUGGGACCCUUAAAUAAAGCCUAUGUGAAGUGUAGUUGUGAUUUAAGAAACUACCAAAUACAGAAACAGAAAGAAUAAGUUCUGUGGUCACCACCCGAACGAUAUACUGCCUCUGUCCCAUAUUAAUUGACGCUCAAACGGAUGUAUCUAGCAGUAAAAUACGUCUAGAUACAUCCGUUUCAGCGUCAAUUUAAUAUUGGACGAGGGAGUAAUUGUGUAAAGAAUGUACAGUUAAACUUUGUGUCAGUACAUUUAGACUAUGGUACGCAUAUCUCGUUAGAGAUGGGCAGCACAAAUUUUAACUCGCACCGGAAGUUAAGAAAAUUUAAGCACUGCCAAAAUAAGGCCAUGUACAAUGCUAGGUGCUUAGAAAAAUAAAUCUGUUUUGCUUUAAGCACAAGUGGUUAUUUGUAGAGUACAGGUGCUUAGAAAAAUAAAUCGGUUUUGCUUUAGACACCUCUGGUACACAAAUAAGCACUGGUGCUUAAGAAAACAAUGGUUUGUUUUUCUAAGCACUGCUCUAAGCUCCUAGCAUUGUACAUGGUCUAAGAUUCCACUUUCCUCGCUAAACAAGAGAACAUUGUUCCAAACUUAACUAGUGCCCUUUUUUUAUUAGGAUGUGUUUCAUAAUAUGUGCAGUUGCAGGUCUGUCAAUGCACCAGCCAACAUUGAUAUCGGAUGCUGGCCAUUUUACAACCAACAAACUCACAUUCAAAAAGAAAAACCCUGCAAGACCACUUAUUUGUCAAGAUCUUUAAUACUGUAGAUACCAGUCAGUUUCCAUUAUACUCGCCUCUGGGGAACUUGGUGAAACGACACAUUAACAUUUCAUCUUCCUUAAAUAAUUAUAUCUUAAAUACCAGAGAACAGUUCAAGACAUGUGAAAUAGGAAAUGAGUUGUACCUUUCCUCAAAGGUAGCGCACAUUUUUAACCCUGCUUCUUCUCGCUCCUUUGCUUUCUCACACUACCAAUUUCAAAUGUCAUGUGUAAAGCAUUACAUCUUUAGAUACAGAAUUGACUUAAUAAGUAAAUCAAGAAGAACCUCCAACAAUGAACCAUCUCGUUCAGCAAAUGCUUGAGCAACGCUGCUCUGGAAAAACCUCACUUGCUGCUCUAGCUCCUUGGUCUGCAUUGUCAUUGCAGGAUAGAAGGUCAUUUCCACAAUAAGCUAGAUUUCUUGUAAACAGAAAUUAGGAGGUUAAAGAAUUAGUGACCUAAAUUCCACAAAAUAUCAAGUUUUAAGUAAGCAUAUGAGGCCUUUAUUAUCUAUUUCAAGUUAACUGAAGUGAAAUUAAUGUUAAGCAAAGGCCCCAAAGGGUACCUUCUCUAAAAAGACCAACCAAGACUCGGAAUAUGCCUAUCAUGCUUGAAAUGAUAUUUUACUUUCAGGCUGCAGAUUUUGAAUAAGCACAAUUGUUAGUGUUUUGUUUAGUUGUGCAGUGUCUGAAUGAUAUGUGGGUCUAGCUAUAGGUGAGCAUAGAUAUGUCAUUCCAUGUUCAAGCUCAAGGGACUUCACUCCCUAUACUACUUGUACGUGGAUGAUGGAGAACAAGUAUAAUUAUCUGCCACUAAACAUUAGUUGGCAAAAGUUACAACAUUAUUGACAAAACAACAACACUCGAUUGUACAAGUCAAAGUAUGAAACCUUUGAUAGCUCAGCACCAUAUAAAUCAGCAAGCUGGCUCUGAAAUUUAAGUAAAGCAAUCAUUAGAAGAAAGAAAAAGAAAAGCAGAUACAAACAAUAGUACAGCGAGGAAGAGAAGCACACCUUAACUCGAUAAGCCUCAGCAAGCUCCUCUUGCAAAUUUUGGUUCUCUCUUAAGCAUCCACUUAACUUCUUCUGAAGGAUCUCAAUAUCCUGCUCCAGAGCUGUUGUCCUGGAUAGUUAAAACAAAACAUUGGUUUACUUGCACUACAAUGAUAACAAUGGAACAUGGACAGAACCUAUGGAAGCACCUCUGAGAAAGCAUUCGAGUUGCAACAGAAACAUAACCAGGCCCAGCUUGUUGCAUACACAAUUGCUCGAUAUCUUUUCUCAGUUCAUCACGUUCUGACAAACAAAGAAUAUUUCAAUCAAUAAGUGUACGCCUAUACCCCCACAUAAAAGAAAUACAAGAAUGAAAACUGGAACUACUCCCAAAACAACUAGUCUACAUGAGCAACUUUGAGAAAACAGAACAUGGUGUUCUCUCCAUUCAAAAGGUCAUCAAUCUGAAGUAUGAGAAAAUAGGUACAUUGAUCUUCCAUUGAAAAUCUCUGAUUACUAGUAACAUCUGCCAAUAGUUUCCAACAUGUUAACCAUGUACACAUGACAUCCAAAGGAAGCAACACUGCGGAGUACUAAGAUACUCCUAUGACUGAACAAAGCUGUAGAAGGUUGGAAUUAUUAUAAAGACUCAUAAAAUGUCUAUCAGAAACAAUGUAACAUAAUUAGCCAAGGACUUCAGCAGCUACUUCAUGUACUUUCCCAAAUUGUACAGCAAGCCACCAUUAACAGAGUGAAAGAAAUUAAAAAAAAAACUAUUGCAUUCUUCGCAAAAAUUAUCUACUCAAAUAUGCGAGAAUAGCUGAGUUAUGACAGGGCACAUAUUAGUGAAGGAACUCUAGUGCAUUAUCCGCUUUUAUAUCUUGAGGUCAUUAUUGAAGGAAGCCAGGAACUAGUACGAUUCCCCCUGAAUUUCCAUUGGAGUGCCUCUAUUCCAAAAAGGGGUGAGGGUCCUGAAUUGAACUACUUGCACAGAGAAAACAAUGUAGCCAAACUAAUCACUAAUCUGCAGGCUGAAGUGUUAUAUAUAAUGAGAGCAACUUCUAUUGGCACAGGAAACAAUCAGUAUGUUAGGGUUAUCACUGAAAGUAUAAACGAAUGAAUGAUAAUCUUGUAUAUGACAGAUAUGAGUGAGUACCCCGCUGGAGUUCUUCAACUCGACGAGUUAAUACCUCACCAUCGUAUGGCUUCUCAUCCAUUUUCUACAGAAAAACAGAUAGAAUAAGACUAAUGUUCUUGAAUAAAAAUGCAAAUGAAUUGAUAUCCUACAUGCCAUAAUGUAACAUAAACAUCAAAGCCGUGCAAUGGAAGCCUCAAGUUCUGAGCACAAAAUAGUAGUAAUACCGCAGGCUUGCAGUGAAGCAGGGGUGAUCCCCUAGACCCGCUUCUUCCUACCAAAGCAGAAGUGGAAGAAAAAAUGUGCUGCAGCACAGGGGACAUGGACGGAUUUCUCCCAAGAUUCCGGACUCGGAAUCGCCACAAUUGCACCAACGCGGACGAAACCCUAGCCUCCUAAUCGGGCCAAAAAUGAAGCAUAGGUUCGACUGGGAUUCAGCAAAGCCUACCUUGAAUCCACACAGACUUAUGGCCGGGUUCGUCUCCUCCACGUAGUCGUCGAGAAGAGCACCGCCGCUCGCUUCGCCGCCGGCUCCGAGGAGGACAAGACGAGGUUUUGAGAGCUGUCUCAAAACCAGAUGGUCGCUCCUCGUGGCCUCACAUGCGGAGCCUGAGAGGCGGGCCAGAGCGGCUUCGGUCUACAAGUGCAGAAUAUCGUGCAAGCAAAAUGCUGACGUGGCAAAAUAAUUAGGACACGUGUGGUGGAAGCCAAACCCGCCCACACGCCUUAUAACACGGAAAAGAAUUAUAUGAGACCAGGACUCACGGGCUAGCAUGUGAGACCCACCCUGAUGGAUGACACGUGGCAUUUAUAAAUCACAAAACAUCUACCCACCCUCACUUAAAAUCAGGGGAGAGAUUAUAUGCUUUUAUGAUUUGUGAAUGCCACGUGUCAUCCGUCAGUGUGGGUCUCACCUGCUAGCCAGUGAGACCUGGUCUUAUAUAAUUUUUUUCCCUAUAACACACAGAGUGCAUCACGUCAUCGCAUGCAUGUAUGUGAGAAUCUUUUUGGAUUUUCAGUUUUUAAAAUAUUUUAUCUCUUAAAUGAAAAAUCCGAUUGAAGAUCCUUUUCAUCAUUAAAUCCCUCGCAACGGGAUCUUCGAAACUAGAUCUCAUAUCAAUAUAUUUCGACGAUUUUUUUUGGUUAAAAGUUGUCAUGUCUAUUGCACAUGAAUUGCCACGAUAUUUGCAUUGAAGUUGUCAUGAUAUGUUUCAGCUAUUUUCUUUUACAUCUAAAAGUAAAUUUUGACAUAUUAUAAAACGGGAAAUUAAGAAAUUAGACUUGCCAUGAACCAUAAACUAAAAUUGCCAUGAUACAUGCACUUAAAAUUGUCAUGGUUCAUAAAAAAAUAAUUUUCAUGGUCAAAGUGCUGGAAUUGCCAUCAUCAAAAAUUGCAGUGUAAACCCCAUGCUCUACAAAUUAAAAUUGCCACAUCGCAACUUUAGUUUAAGCACUAUGGCAACUACAGUGUAAACGUCAUGGCAACUUUUGGGCAAAAAAAUUCGUCGAAACAUAUCAACAUGGGGUCUAGUUUUGAAGAUCUCGUCGAGGCGGAUUUAAUGGUGAAAACGGAUUUUUAAUUCGAUUUUUUAUUAGGAGAUAAAACAUUUUUAAGCCGAAAACCAAAAAGAUUCCUGCAGAUGUCAUCUGUUCAUACGUGGCAAAAUGAGUGGUGAUGCAGGCGUGUGGGCAAUGUGCAAGAUGCCACACGUGUGGACGUUUGUUUUUUCCAAUAAUUAAAGGAUGUACAAUGAUUAAUAAGGCAGCCUUGCGAAUCAACCUCUAGUUCGAUGGUUAGAGCAUCUUUAGCACACCAUGUAUAUCGCCGACCCGCAAAAAUCAUUUACAGUACGCGGAAAAACGGUUUUGUGGGCCGGCGCAGGUAUUAGAUGCGGUUUUAUCUGAAUUUGACACAUAUGCACAUAUUCAUAAUUACUAAUUUGCAAUAUAAGAAAAAUGUCAAUAUUACAAUACAACAAUCAUUCAAAUUACAAUAAUUAUUCAAAUGUCCGAAGCAAACUAAAUAAUUCAAUACAAAACUUGUCCUGAAUACAAACCACACAUGAAUUAAAUGAAAAUGAAUCGAAAAAUGAAAUGUGUUACUGCCUAGCCCUUUGCCAAUGGUGCUCAAUGAGAUCCUCCUGAAGCUGAAGUGAAUGUUUGCAUUUUCAGUCUCUUUGUAGGUCUGAAGAAAACAUCUAAUGCAGUUAGGGCCUCUAACUGGUUUGACACGGCUACCCACAUUGUCGUAGAAGAACUCCAAGUCCAUGCCUCUCUCAUCUUCAAUAAUCAUAUUGUGAAGAAUAACACAACAUGUCAUGAUGUUUUUCAAGGAUCGCUUGUCCUGAAAACAAGCAGGACCACGAACAAUGGCAAACCUAGGUUGCAAAACCCUGAAUGCUCUUUCAAUGUCUUUUCGGGCUGCCUCUUGUACCCUUGCGAAAUCAUAUUGUUUCCUAGUUUGGGGGUCGUUGAUGCUCUUGACAAAUGUGCAUCAAAGAGGGUAUAUACCAUUUGCAAGAUAGUACCCCUUUGUGUAUUCAUGCCCAUUGAUAGUAUAGUUGCAAGUAGGAGCAUCACCACUAGCAAGCCUAGCAAACAAAUGAUAUCGUUGCAACACAUUGAUAUCAUUGAGAGUACCCGGCAUACCAAAAAAGCAAUGCCAAAUCCAUAAAUCCUCGGAUGCUAUGGCCUCUACCACAAUUGUUGCAUCACGAGACUUGCCACAAUACAUUUCGUGGCAUGCUUUUGGGCAAUUUUUCCAAGUCCAGUGCAUACAAUCUAUGCUUCCUAGCAUGCCAGGCCAAACUCUUCUAUCAUUAGAUGCCAUCAAUUUUUUUUGUGUCUUCCUCGUUGAGUGCCCGAAGAUAUUCAGGACCAAAGACACGGAUGAUCACUUUGGCAAACCUACGCACUAACUCAAUUGUAGUAUUUUCACCAAUGCGAAUGUACUCAUCGGCAUAGUCAGCCGGAAUGCCGUAUGCAAUUACCCGCAUAGUUGCCGAGAUUUUUUGAUAUGCACUAAAUCCCUUCAAGCCCGCGGCAUUUCUUCUUCGAGUAAAAUACCGACAAUUGGCCUCGCAAGCUUGAACAAUUUUCACAAAGAGGGAUCGGCGCAUUCGAUACCUUCUCCGGAAGAGGUGCGGCGGAUAUGUUGGAUUCUCCGCUAAGUAGUCUUGCAUCAACAUCUCGCUCCUGAGAUGGCGAUUUUGGGGAAUGCAAAGACGGCCGAUGGUCGAUCCUCGCCGCCUCUUUCGGUUCUCAUCUUCGUGCUCCUUAACGGCAAGGGCCAUCACCAAUGUCUGCUGGUGGUAGUUGACAAGUAGCGUCUCAACAUCCGAGUCGUUUGAAUCGGACAAAUCGUCGAGCAAAAACUUCUCGCACGGGCUCAAUUCCAACUAAAAUCACAAAUACGCACGCCGCGUUAACCAACCAUGCAUACCGCUCGACACAAGCACAAGUACAAACUCACCGGUUGCUCGGGGGCGGUGGCUCUCCGGCGGUGGAUCCCAAGGCGACGACGGUGACUAGGGGCGGCUCGGAUCGACGGAUCCGGGGAGCCGGUGCAGCGGCUCGGUGCACGAGGGUAGGGGCGCCCACGCGGCGCGAUUCCACCCGCGGAUUUGGCCGGAAUCGCCGGCGCCGGACGGGCGAAACCAAUGGCGGGCGGCGGUGGAAGGGGUGGGGGAAAGGGCGUGGGCUGAAAUGUCCCUCCCACCAACCGCUUUCCUGGGAUACGGGGUGAGGCGGAAACCUGCGUUUUCGCGGGUUGGGGAUGGGAUUUUGCCGCGCCCCUCAAAAAAUUUUACGGGUCGGACGCGUUUACAGGGUCUGGUCGGGCAACAUUUUCCACGCCGACCCGUAUUUUGGCGGUUAUUUUGCGGGUCGCGGCUUUUUACGGGGUUUGCUAUAGAUGCUCUUAGAUAGACAGUGGUAUGAUUCAAGUCUUGAUACUCGCAUUUAUUCUGGAUUUAUUUCAGAAUUUUCGGCGAUACAUGUUCAGUGGGUGAAGACGUUCCCGUCGACUACGAGGCGCCUAGGGUGACUUCGUAAAAUCUCAAGUUGAUAUGCUGGCUCAGUCUCUCGGAGAUGCUCAUAGGGAUAUGGUGUGCGUGUGUGUGUUCAUAGGGAUAAGUGUAUGCGUGUAUAUAUAAGCGCUUGUGUCUGUACUGAUGUUCAAAAAAAUAAGGCAACCUUAUUUUAGUUUUGCCACAUGAGAAGACAAUACAAGAUGAGUAGGGCAUUCUGAAGACCGAGCUUCGUAGAGGCCUUAAUUUUAGAAAGAUCAUACUAUUCAGUUUCAAAGAAUUGUAGAAAAGAAAAUACACAUGUAUAGAAGUAUGUAAUGUGUAUGCGUAUAACAUGUUUGGAUGAAAUCUUGAAUUGCGAGCUGCAAAAGAAAAUCCUGAAUUUUGAGGAUGAACUGUAAAUAUGUUAGACAGUCAUGAAUUUAUUUUUCUUUUGUAGCUCUAAUUUUAAUGUAUUUCAACCUAAAAAAUUAUGCAUGUAUACAUUGUGUCUCUAGAUAUAUAUGUAUUUUUCACAAUUUUCUGAAGCUGAAAAGUUCUAAGCUUUCAAAUUAAGACCUCCAUGAAGCUCGGCCUCCGUUCGGCAUUUUUGAUAAAAAAAGUAUGAUGAGUUCUUUCUUAGUCUUACAUUUUGUAGAACACCCCUUCCUUCUUUUAUACAGCUUGUUCCGUUGCACUUUACGUGCGCUCGGUGGAAAAAAAUCGUCACUUCUGUCGCAUGCACUACAAGAGAAAAAACAAAAUUACCAUCAUGGGAUUCAAAUCCACAACUCUCUGGCAUCAAGCACACUGCAACAACCAACUCACCUAAAAGGAGUGGCUGCCCCAAAAUUAACCUUUUUAUCAUUUUUUCACAACUACAUUAGUAUAUAAGUUAUCAGUUUUGCUAAAGUACAUCUAGAUGUGUCAUAAGUAUUGCAUAUCUAAGUCUUAUAUCAUUGAUCUUAUGCGGAGAUUCAUGUGAGUAUUUUUUUUCUUUUUUAUGCUUUGAUUGAGUCAUUUAAAUGCGCAAUAACUAGACGUGCCCUAAACAGACCCAUAAGUUAUCCUUAUGUUUGAACGACUUUUUCUUCGGAUUAAAGUUAUCAUGGUGUUCUAUGUAAAUUAUCAGGUCUGUGAUGCAUAAGUUCACAUGCUAUUUACACAGAAAUUAUCGAGGUAUGUUUUAACAACUUUUUUUUCUUCGGGUCAAACCUUUUUUACCACAGUACAAACGCAGACGCUCAUGCACUCACCCCUAUGAACGAACGCACGCACAUCCUAUCUCUGCGAGCACCUCCGAGAAACUUGAGCGACACAUUAUCUUGAGAUUGACAAAGUCGCCAUGGACAUCUUCUUAGUCGACGGAACGUCUUCUCCCAUUGAACGCACAUCGCCGAAAAGUCUAAACAAAUCAAAAUAAUGCGAACACCAAUGUCAAAUCUAUCUCCGUGUCAAAAUUAUCACUGUGUUUUGUACACAAUUUAUCAGGUCUGCAAUACGUAAAUUACUAGUGUAUCAUUCAAACAACUUUUUUCAUGGGUCAAAGUUACCAUAGUGUUGCAUGUAGGUUAUCAGAUUUGUGGCGCACAAAAUUAUCAUGUUACUUACCCAAAAAAUUAGAAUCGCUAUUUACACAAAAAGUUAUCGGACUUGUUUCAAUAACUUUUUUCGUGGGUCAAAAUUACCACGGUGUUGUAUGUAAGUUAUCAGGUAUGUGAUGCAUAAAAUUGCCAUAGUAUUCACAAAAAUCAGUAGGGUAUGUUUUAAUUAAGGAUGGCAAUGGGUAGGGUAUGGGGCGGGUAGAGCAAUACCAUACUCAUACCUGUGUAAUCAAUGGGUACAAAAUUCUACCCAUACCCAUAUCCAUGGAUAUGAACUUUUACCCGUACCCAUACCCGAUGGGUAGUCAUACCCAUUAGGUACCCAACGGAUAGAUCAAAUAAACAAGUUAUUCACAAUUUUACAUUCAUCUAUAGCACAUUUGACAAAAAAUAUUGAUCUCAACUCAAUAACAGUUAGAUGAGUACAUGAUAAUUAUCUCAAUUCAAAUUGACAAUUGGUGACAACUUUAACAUAGGUUCAUAAGCUCAUGACACAACUUUAACAUAGGUACACUUGUGAAUCACAGGUAAAACUCACAUGUUAGUAUAAAUGGGUAGGGUAUGAGUAUAUUCAUGGGUAAAAGGCUAUACCCAUACCCUACCCAUGACUUAAUAGGUAGGGUAUGGGUAUUACCCAUGGGUAUAAAAUUGUGCCCAUACCCUACCCAUGCGAGUACGGUAUCUGCGGGUACCCAUACCCGUGGGUAAAAUUGCCAUCCUUAGUUUUAACAUUUUCUUUUCCUGUGUGACUGUGUCAAAGUUACCACUGUGUUUUGUACGCAAAUUAUCAGAUUUGCGAUGCGUAAAUUACCAUACCGGUAUUUACACACACAAAAUUCUGGAUUAUGUUGGCGUUUGUAUGUAAAUUAUUAGGUCUGUGAUGUGUAAACUAAUAUCAUGUUAUUUACAAAAAAGUUUCAAAAAAUUAUCAUAUUUAAUUUUCAAUUAAAAUGUGUGGGUCUUUACCUCCCUUGGUUAUGGUGGCGGUUACCACAAUAUUUGCUUCUGACUAGUCAUAGUGAGGAGUACUACCUUCGUCCUAGUUUAUUAGUUUCGUGAGCUAUCAAAGAUUGUAUCAUUUUUAUUAGGCCACUGCCUUUAAACACAUCACUUUAUUUCCUCUAUCCCCGGAUUCCAAUGCUUUCUUCAUGAAAGCAAGCGCAUGGGACUGCUUGAUUGAAUAUGCAUGCAAGCUGCAUGCGCACAAUAGCCAUUGCUUGCACAAAGGUCGUAAAUAGGCCUAGUUAGUAGGGGUGAUUAGAGAGGAGAUUUAUUUCCAAUUUCUCUGUCUGCGUGCUUUUCUUGAUCUUUGCGUUUGGCUCAAGGGCCCAAUAAACUAGAACAGAGGUAGUAACUUACACUAGUGUCAUGCACAUGACACUAAUCUUUGUUACUAUCUCCAUAGUGCAAAGUAAGGCCCUGUUUGGUUCAUAAGUCCUAGGACUUUUUUUUAGUCCCAACUAAAAAGUUUCUAGUCCCUAAAAAGUCCCUCCCUGUUUGUUUUCAGGGACUAAAAAGUCCCUAGUCCCUCCCUAGAUGAUAUGUAAAAGACCAUGUUACCCCUAGUAUACAGAAAAAUAACAACCAAACAACACCAUAGGGCGGCGGGGCAAUGGGUGCAGGGAGGGGCAUUGUUGGAAAAGUCCCAAAAAAGACUCUCCUUGAGAGUCUUCUUCAUUUAGUCCCAAAAUGCAACUUUUAGUCCCUAGUAGUCCCUCGUGUUUGGUUAAAAAGUCUCUAAGAGGGACUUUUUCUAGUCCCUACACCAAAAAGUCCCUGGAAACAAACACCCCCUAAUAUAUAAGUAAUCAUAGACGAUUGCGUUUAUUAAAUUGUAGACUAUUUUGCUUUGGGUUGCGUAUGUUACAGUAACAUAUUAUGUUACUUCAAACACCUCUCUCCUCUAUAUACCACAUAAGCAAAUUUAUCUUGAAAUGCACUACGUUACUUGCUACUCCCUCCGUACCGGUGCAUAAGUCAUCUUACGUUGUGCACCACGACCAAGGCGAAGGGGGAAAUGAGAGAAUCUAAUGUUUAUUUGCUAAUUAAUACCAUUACAUGUAAUGAACUGACCACUGCAUGCCAUGCUAGGUAGUCUCAAGUCAUUAAAACAUAUAUGCCUCAUGUCUCUUAUUGGUUGAUUCAUUUUAUUUACGUCAAGAAACAAGAAACGAUGUGGGAGUUAAUGCAAUGUACCUAAAUGUUUUGGAAUUAUUUGGUUUUCGUAAGAUGACUUGUGCACAGGAGUAAGUUACUCCCACUAUGACCAGCCUCAUGACCUGCAUGUAGCGACAAGCAUUGCUUACAUGCUCUCGAUCUUCAAGGUGCUACAGAUUUCAAUGCUCUUAAUUGCCUAGCCAACUAAUUCCUCGAGCAAAGUAGGAAUUAGAAAGAUUAACGGGAAAAAACUACUUAAUAUGAAACCUGUAAAUCCUAUUGCCCACUAGGCGUUUAAACCAUGGAAGGAGGACGACAACGAAUCGAAAGAGUAGUUGGCUAGUGUGCUUGAUAAUUUUUCCCUCCUUUAUAGGAGUUCGUUUGUUCAAUUCCUUUUUCAAUCUAUUUCUUUUUCUCGCCCCAGGCUUUGGUCAACGGGGAAAAUCUAUACCAAAUAUGCGAAUCUAUGCAAAAUGCCUACCAAUGAAUGCACAAAGAAUUUAGUUGCUCAACAAAUAAAUGAAACUUAAAUACAAAAGCUAAGGUCUCUCCCAAUGCACUGUCUCUUAGCACGUUAUCAUAUAAGAUGUAAAAACCUAAAAGCAGCGGCGGAGCCAGCACCCGGCCACCCUGGUCAGUUGCCCGAGCUCGCUGCAUGCGCUCAUGUUGUACGAUGCGCUGCCAUAACAGAAAAAGGCGGGAGCAGUCUUGAUAACCCACAAGUAUAGGGGAUCGCUACAGUUUUCGAGGGUAGAGUAUUCAACCCAAAUUUAUAUAUUUGGCACAAGGGGAGCCGAAGAAUAUUUACAAGUAUUAGCAGCUGAGUUGUCAAUUCAACCACACCUGGAGAUUAAUUAUGUGCGGCAAAGUGAUCAGUAGCAAAGUAGUAUGAUAGUUUUGAUAAUAGUGGUAACAGCAAUAGUAAUAGUAAUAGUAAUAACAAUGAUUUUGUAGCAAGUGUAACAGUAGCAGUAGUAGUAACUUAGCAAGAACAAUAUAAGAGAGAUUCGUAGGCAAUGGAACGGUGAAUUCAUUGGAUGAUAUUCAUCAUAUAACAGUCAUAUCCUAGGGCGAUACAAAACUAGCUCCAGUUCAUAAAUGUAGGCAUGUAUUCUCUAUGAAAAGAACUUGCAUGACAUCUUUUGUCCUACCCUCCCUUGGCAUCAGGGUCCAUAAGGAAACUAAGGAGAAUUAAGGCCUCCUUUUAAUAGAGAGCCGGAAAAAAGCAUUAACACAUAGUGAAUACAUGAACUUCUCAAACUACGGUCAUCACCGGAAAGUACCCCGAAUACUGUCGCUCCGGGGUUUACGGAUCAUAACACGUAACAGGUGAAUAUGACUUGCAAGAUCGGAUCUAGAACAUAGAUAUAAUGGUGAUAACAUAAACGGUUCAGAUCUGAAAUCAUGGCACCCAGGCCCAAAGUGACAAGCAUUAAGCAUGGCAAAGUCAUAUCAACAUCAUCUCAGAACAUAGUGGAUACUUGGGAUCAAGCCCUAACAAAACUAACUCGAUUACAUGAUGAAUCUCAUCCAACUCCUUACCGACCAGCGAGCCUACGAAAGAAUUACUCACUCCCAGUGGGGAGCAUCAUGGAAUUGGCGAUGAAGGAGGGUUUGUGAUGAUGAAGAUCGAAGAUCCCCCUCUCCGGAGUCCAAAACGGGCUCCAGAUCUGGCCUCCCGAUGAAGAACAGGAGGUGGCGGCAGCUCCGUAUCGUGAAACGAGAUAAUUCUUCCUCCCUGAUUUUUUCUAGAAAAAUAGGUAUUUAUGGAGUCGGAAUAAGGGUCUGCGGGGCCACCAGGUGGGCACAGCCCACCUAGGCGCGCUAGGAGGGGGGCGCCCUAAUAAUCCCCAAGUGCAGGGAAUCAUCGUAGCAAUUUCCAAAGGUGGAAGUGAUAAGUAUGGAGUGUCGAACCAAGAAGGAUCUAAAGGUAAGAUCAAUAUUCUCUCAAGUCCUAUCUGCCACUGAUACGACUCUACGUACACCGAACGUUUGCUUUCCAACUAGAAACGAGAAAUAAAACUACGUUGUGGGUAUGAAGAGGAUAACUUUGCAUGAUAUCGGAGAGCUAAAAUAUAAAAGUAGGUGCUGCUAUCAUAAAGUUAGAAUCUAUUACUAAAUAUUAUAAAUAGCGAGUGUGGAAUAAUGAUGGAUCGGUGUGCGGAAUUGUCCUAGGCAAUCGUUAACAAGACCGGUAAUCACUAUUGCAAUUUCAUAUGAGGGAGAGGCAUAAGCUAACAUACUUUCUCAUCUUGGAUCAUAUGCACUUAUGAUUGGAACUCUAGCAAGCAUCUGCAACUACUAAAGAUCAUUAAGGUAAAACCCAACCAUAGCAUUAAAGCAUCAAGUCCCCUUUAUCCCAUACGCCGUGACCCACUUAUCCGUGUUUAUGCUUCUAUCACUCAAGCAACGCAGACAAUAAGUAAACCAUGGACACAUUGCAACACCCUACAGCGGGAAUCCCUCACGCUUGCGCGACACGGAGGGCACCAUAGGACAACACUAAAAUAAAACAUACAACUCAUACCAAUCUAGAUCAUCAAUCAACCCAAGGACAAAAGAUAUCUACUCAAAACAUCAUAAGAUGGCAACACAUCAUUGGAUCAUAAUAUGUGGCAUAAAGUACCAUGUUCAAGUAGGGAUUACAGUGGGGUGCGGGAGAGUGGACCGCAUAAAAGAGAUGAGGAUGGUGAUGUUGAUGAAGACGAUCACCGCGGCGAUGAUUCCCCUCCCGAUGGCACUCUGACGCCGCCAAGAGAGAGGAAGAGAGGUUCUCCCCCUUGUGCUUCCUCCUCCAUGGCCUCCCCCCUAGAUGGGGAGAGGUUCUCCCUCUGGUCCUUGGCCUUCAUGGCGAUGAUGGCCCCUCCGGGAUCCUCCUCCAUGGCCUCCGGUGAUGAUGGCCCCCUCCGGCAGGGUGCCAGAGAGGGCCUAGAUUGAUUUCUCGUGGCUACAGAGGCUUGCGGCUGCGGAAUUUCCGAUCUAGGUUAUUUCCCGAAGGUUUCUAUAUUUAUAGGAGAAGUUGGCGUUGAUUUCACGUCAGGGGGGCCUCGGGGAGUCCACGAGGCAGGGGGCGCGCCCCCACCCUCGUGGGGCCCCCGGGACUCCCCUCCGAUAGAUUUUUGUUACAGUAUUUUUCAUAUUUUCCAGAAAAAAUCUCCGUUGAUUUGCAGCCCAUUCCGAGAACUUUUAUUUCUGCAUAAAAACAACACCACGGUAGUUGUGCUGAAAACAGCUCAGUCCGGGUUAGUUCUAAUCAAAUCAUACCAAAAUCAUAUAAAACUAUUGUAAACAUGGCAUAAUACUUCGUAAAUUAUAGAUACGUUGGAGACGUAUCAGCAUCCCCAAGCUUAAUUCCUGCUCGUCCUCGAGUAGGUAAAUGAUAAAAGAAAUAAUGUAUGAAGUGUGAAUGCUAGCAAGUGCACAAGUUUGACCAAUGAUAAUUUCAAUCACCUUUUCUAGCAUCAUUAUAUGUCAUAACAGUAGCUCAUCUCAUAAAAACUUUUCAUGAUCAAGUAACAAAUUAUUCACAUGUUAAAGUAUAGAUCAUAAACUUUCUUGAAACUAACAAACUAUAUUUUCAGUCAUCAAACAAUUGCAAUUCAUCUUAUUUUCAGGAAGGGUCUAUGUCAGAGCUUUGAUUUAGCAAACUCCACAUACUCAACUAUCAUUUAAUCUUUCACAAUUACUAACACUCACGUGAUAUUUAUGGGUUCAAAGUUUUAAUCGGACACAGAGAAAGAUAGGGGCUUAUAGAUUCGCCUCCCAACCUUUUACCUCAAGGGUAAUGUCAACAAUAAUAGUUUAUGAUAACUUACAUCCAAUUGGAUAUAUAUAUAUCAGGAUCUUUUCAACACAAUGUGCUUGCCGAAGGAUAAAAUGUAAAAAGGAAAGGUGGAGACCACCAUGAAUCUUGCAUAAGGUAGAAGAUAAAAGUAAAAGAUAGGCCCUUCGCAGAGGGAAGCAGAGGUUGUCAUGCGAUUUUAAGGUUGGAUGCACAAAAUCUUAAUGCAAAAGAACGUCACUUUAUAUUGCCACUUGUGAUAGGGACCUUUAUUAUGCAGUCCGUCGCUUUUAUUGCUUCCAUAUCAUAAGAUCGUAUAAAGCUUAUUUUCUCCACACUAAUAGAUCAUACAUAUUUAGAGAGUUAUUUUUAUUGCAAGUACCGAUGAAAACUUACUUGAAGGAUCUUACUCAAUCCAUAGGGAGGUAUGAUGGACUCUCAUGGCAAAACUCGUUUUAAGGGAUAUUCGGAAGCACAAGUAGUAUCUCUACUUGGUGCAAAGAAUUUGGCUAGCAUGAGGGGGAAAGGCAAGCUUAGCAUGUUGGAUAAUCCAUGACAAUAUACUUUAUUUCGGAUAUAAGAAAACAUAACCCAUUACGUUGUCUUCCUUGUACAACAUCAACCUUUUAGCAUGUCAUAUUUUAAUGAGUGCUCACAAUUGCAAAAGAUGUCCAAGAUAGUAUAUUUCUUUCAUGAAUUGUUUAAGUGACCAAUUCUACGUUUGCUAACUUUCAAUAAGUUUACUACCUAUACUUAUUAUGUGUGAAGUCAUCACUCCCCAUGUUAUAAGCAUAUGAAACAUAUAUAAAUUCAGAUUUAUGAAAUUCAAUUCAUUCAAGCAUUUACUCAUAGGAUAUACGUGAAGCACAUGAGUAAAUGACAAACUACUCCAAAAGAUAUAAGUGAAGAACACUGAGUAGUCAAAUAAUUAACUAGCCAUGGGAGGAUUCUUUUUAAUUCACUAUUUCAGAUCCAAUUAUUUUAUUCAAACAGCAAGUAAAAAUUGAAAAUACGCUCCAAGCAAAACACAUACCAUGUGACGAAUAAAAAUAUAGCUCCGAGUAAGGUAUACCGAUAGUUCUGAAGAUGAAAGAGGGGAUGCCUUCCGGGGCAUCACCAAGCUUAGGCGCUUGAGUCUUGCUUGAAUAUUACCUUGGGGUGCCUUGGCAUCCCCAAGCUUAGGGUCUUUCCACUCCUUAUUAUCCUCAUAUCGAUAUCUCACCCAAAGCUUGAAAACUUCAAUCACACAAAACUUAAUGGAACUUCGUGAGAUAGGUUAGUAUGAUAAAGAGUAAACCAUUCACUUUGGUACUGUCAAAGACAAGGUUCAUAAUUGUUCUCACACAAUGCCUACUAUACCAUAGCAUUUCUACAAUUUAUAUUGAGAAAUAUAAUCCAUAGAAACUAGAAAAGAAGCAAACUAUGCAAUGAAAACAGAAUCUGUCAGAAACAGAACAGUCUGUAAUGAUCUGAACAGAAACCAUACUUCUGCUACUCCAAAAAUUAUGAAAUAAAUUGGUGGACGUGAGGAAUUUGUCUAUUAAUCUUCUUCAAAAAGAAUCAACUCAAAAGCACUCUUAUGUAAAAAAUGGUAGCUAAUCUCGUGAGCGCAAAGUUUCUGUUUUUUACAGCAAGAUCACAUUAACUUUCACCCAAGUCUUCCCAAAGGUCUUACUUGGCACUUUAUUGAAACAAAAGCUAUAAAACAUGAUUACUACAGUAUCAUAAUCAUGUAAACACACAAAAACAGUAAGGGUAAAUAUUGGGUUGUCUCCCAACAAGCGCUUUUCUUUAAUGCCUUUUAGCUAGGCCUGAUGAUUUCAAUGAUGCUCACAUAAAAGAUAAGAAUUGAAACAUAAAGAGAGCAUCAUGAAGAAUAUGACUAGCACAUUUGAAUCUAACCAACUUCCUAUGCCUAGGGAUUUUGUGAACACAUAAUUUAUAGGAACAAGAAUCAACUAGCAUAGGAAGGCAAAACAAGUAUAACUUCAAAACUUUAAGCACAUAGAGAGGAAACUUGAUAUUAUUGCAACUCCUACAAGCAUAUAUUCCUCCCUCAUAAUAAUUUUCAGUAGCAUCAUGAAUGAAUUCAACAAUAUAACCAUCACAUAAAGCAUUUUUUUAUCUACAAUCAUAGAAAUUUUUCUACUGUCCACAUAAGCAAAAUUCUUCUCAUUCGGAAUAGCGGAAUCACUAGUUCCUAAAGUUGACACUCUUCCAAACCCGCUUUAGAUGAUAGUAUUAUUCAUACUCCAAAAUAUAUAAGUGAAGUUCAUGGAGCAUUCUACAAUUAAUAUAGACUAACCAAUAUCCAAGCUCAAAAUAUACAAGUGAAGCACACGAAGCAUUCUAUAAAACCAUACUCAAAAGAUUUAAGUGAAGCGCAAAGAGCAUUCUAUAAGGUCAUACUCAAAAGAUAUAAGUGAAGCACAUGGAUCAUUCUAUAAAUCGAUGAAUAUAUAUCUCAUACUAGCAUGGUUCUUAAAGAAAAAGGAAAACACAAGGGACACAAAUCAUGUGAACAAAACAAAAACCGAGGUAUACCGAUAAUUGUUGAAGAAGAAAGAUGGGAUGCCAACCGGGGCAUCCCCAAGCUUAGAUGCUUGAGUAUCCUUGAAAUAAUUACUUGGGGUGCCUUGGGCAUCCCCAAGCUUCAACUCUUGCCUCUCUUUAUUCUUCUCACAUCGGUAGCUGCUCGUUCUUCAAACACUUCAUCCACAAAAACUUAACAAAAACUUUGUGAGAUCCGUUAGUAUACUAAAGCAAAUCACUACCUUUAGGUAUUGUUUCAAACUCAUUACAAUUUCAUAUUAGAACUAUAUCUACUGUAUUCCAACUUCACCAUGGUUCAUACCCCCCGAUACUACCCAUAGAUUCAUCAAAAUAAGCAAUCAACACACAGAAAACAUAAUCUGUCUAAAACAGGACAGUCUGUAGUAAUCUGGAUGUUUAGUAAACUUCUGUAACUCCAAAAAAUAUGAAAUAAAUUUGAAAAAUUUGUAGAGAAGUAAUGUGCAAAAAGUUUUAGACCCAUUUGACUUUCUAGUAAAAAAUGUAAAAUCACGCGCUACAGCCAAAGUUUCUGUUUUUGUUCUGCACAUAGUAAACAAGCAAUCUAAUCAUCCUAAAACCAAAGCUUGGCACAAUAUUUUUAUAAUACAAAGGAUAUAUACAAGGCGAUGACAAUUUUUACAUUGUUUCCAUGAGAAUGAACACAAGUGCUCAAGGUCGACCCUCACUUAUUCAAUCCAUAACUUUCCAAUCACUUCUCUUUUUGAAAAAAAAUAGGCAUGAGAGGCAAGUAAAUUUUUUUGUAUUUUCAUUCUUUAAAAAAAUUGUAUGUUUCACCCACAACUAAAUAGAAACAAAAAGGAAAAACAAAAUCUACUUAGUGAAGAAAGCAAACAAGCACACACGAGAAUAUCAACCCCACGCUAUUGCUCCCCGGCAACGGCGCCAGAAAAGAGCUUGAUAAUCCCCAAGUGCAGGGAAUCAUAGUAGCAAUUUCCAAAGGUGGAAGUGAUAAGUAUGGAGUGUUGAACCCACAAGGAGCUAAAGGUAAGAUCAAUAUUCUCUCAAGUCCUAUCUGCCACUGAUACGACUCUACGUACACCGAACGUUUGCUUCCAGCUAAAAUGAGAAAUAAAAGUAUGUUGUGGGUAUGAAGAGGAUAACUUUGCAUGAUAUCGGAGAGCUAAAAUAUAAAAGUAGGUGCUGUUACCAUAAAGUUAAAAUAUAUUACUAAAUAUUAUAAAUAGAGAGUGUGGAAUAAUGAUGGAUUGGUGUGCGGAAUUGUCCUAGGCAAUCGUUAACAAGACCAGUAAUCACUAUUGCAAUUUCAUAUGAGGGAGAGGCAUAAGCUAACAUACUUUCUCAUCUUGGAUCAUAUGCACUUAUGAUUAGAACUCUAGCAAACAUCCGCAACUACUAAAGAUCAUUAAGGUAAAACCCAACCAUAGCAUUAAAGCAUCAAGUUCCCUUUAUCCCAUACGCCGUGACCCACUUAUCCGUGUUUAUGCUUCUGUCACUCAAGCAACACAGACAAUAAGUAAACCAUGGACAUAUUGCAACACCCUAUAGCGGGAAUCCCUCACGCUUGCGCGACAUGGAGGGCACCAUAGGACAUCACCAAAAUAAGACAUACAACUCAUACCAAUCUAGAUCAUCAAUCAACCCGAGGACAAAAGAUAUCUACUCAAAACAUCAUAAGAUGGCAACACAUCAUUGGAUCAUAAUAUGUGGCAUAAAGCACCAUGUUCAAGUAGGGAUUACAGCGGGGUGCGGGAGAGUGGACCGCGUAAAAGAGAUGAGGAUGGUGAUGAUGAUGGUGAUGUUGAUGAAGACGAUCACCGCGGCGAUGAUUCCCCUCCCGAUGGCACUCUGACGCCACCGAGAGAGAGGAAGAGAGGUUCUCCCCCUUGUGCUUCCUCCUCCAUGCCCCCCUAGAUGGGGAGAGGUUCUCCCUCUGGUCCUUGGCCUUCAUGGCGAUGAUGGCCCCUCCGGGAUCGUCCUCCAUGGCCUCCGGUGAUGAUGGCCCCCUCCGGCAGGGUGCCAGAGAGGGCCUAGAUUGAUUUCUCGUGGCUACAGAGGCUUGCGGCGGCGAAACUUCCGAUCUAGGUUAUUUCCCGAAGGUUUCUAUAUUUAUAGGAGAAGUUGGCGUUGAUUUCACGUCAGGAGGACCCUCGGGGAGUCCACGAGGCAGGGGGCGCGCCCUAGGGGGUGGGCGCGCCCUCCACCCUCGUGGGGCCCCUGGGACUCCCCUCUGGUAGAUUUUUGUUCCAGUAUUUUUCAUAUUUUCCAAAAAAAAUCUCCGUUGAUUUGCAGCCCAUUCAAAGAACUUUUAUUUCUGCACAAAAACAACACCACGGUAGUUCUGCUGAAAACAGCUCAGUCUGGGUUAGUUCUAAUCAAAUCAUACCAAAAUCAUAUAAAACUAUUGUAAACAUGGCAUGAAUACUUCAUAAAUUAUAGAUACGUUGGAGACGUAUCACGCCCUGGUGGGCUGUGCUCCCCCAGGGACCACCCUCUGGUGGUUCUUGGCUCUAGUAUUUUUCUUUUAUUGCAUAAAAAUUCUCCAAAAAGUUUCCUUCCAUUCUGAGAACUUUUAUUUCUGCACAAAAAACAACACCAUGGUAGUUCUGCUCAAAACAACGUCAGUCCGGGUUAGUUUCAUUCAAAUCAUGCAAAUUAGAGUCCAAAACAAGAGUAAAAGUGUUUGGAAAAGUAGAUAAGACGGAGAUGUAUCAACUCCCCCAAGCUUAAACCUUUGCUUGUCCUCAAGCAAUUCAGUUGAUAAACUGGAAGUGAAAAAAAAUUACGAACUCUUUUGCUCUUGUUUACAUAAAUAAGCUUAAGUAGCACCCAGGUUUUCAGCAAAUAUUAUAACUAACCAUGUCAACAAUAACUCCUCAAAAUUAUAUUAACUCAUAUCAAUGACAUAAUCAACUAGCGAGCAAUAAUAAAAUAUCUCAAAUGACAACACCUUGUCAAAACAAUCAUGAUAUAAUAUGACAACAGUGGUAUCUCGCUAGCCCUUUCUGAGACCAUAAAAUAUAAAUGCAGAGCACCUCCAAAGUUCAAGCAGCGACUAAAAAUUGUAAUUCAUGGUAGACAAGAUUCAGUCAUGAUGUAUCCAACAUUAACUAUACACAAUGCAUGAGGAUGACAAUAGUGCUCUCAGAAUCUGGCGCUUAUUUGAGAAGGUGAUGACUCAACAUAAAAUUAAAUAGAUAGUCCCUUCGCAGAGGGAAGCAGGGAUUUGCACCGGUGCGGGAGCUCAGUUUUUAAAACAGAGGUAAAUGAAAUUUUGAGAAAUGCACCCUUCCUGUUUACUUUGCGACCAUUAGUUAUCGAUAUCUUUCAUGCUAAACACAUUAGUGGCAGUUCCCAAGCGAUAAAAGUAAAGGUUUACUCCCCCUCCACCAACAAUCACACUCCACGGCUAGUCAAAUCCAUGGGUACCGUCCAUACCAACAACAAUUCUGGGGGAGUUUUGUUUGAUUAUUUGCAAUUUGAUUUCGGGAUUGGGAAUCCCUAUUACCGCCCCUCUCGUGCAAGGAAGAGUGAAUAAACACUCAUCAUGAGAAUAACCUGCUUAGCAUGGAAGAUACCGACUACCUCCUCUCGCUGCAUGAACAAUCCAAGCACACAAAAACAGAUAUUUAUUUGAGGUUUUCAGAGGUGGCACAUGCAAAUUUACUUAGAGCGGCAGGAUAAUACCGCGUAUAGGUAGAUCUGGUGGGCUCAUCUGGAAUAACUUGGGUUUUAGGAUUUUGAUGCACAAGCAGUAUGUCCGCUUAGUACAGGCGAAGGCUAGCAAAUAGGUUGGGAAGCGGCCAGCUAGAGAGCGAAAAUGGUCAUGAACAUGCAUUAUGCAUAAUGAACACUGGAUACUAGCAUGAGUAGGAUAUGAACACCAUGAACAUAAAUAUCAUAGAGGCUAUGUUGGUUUUGAUUCAACUACAUGCAUGAACAUGUGCCAAGUCAAGCCACUUGAAACAUUCAGAGGAGGAUACCAUAUCAUCAUACUACAUCACAAUCAUUUUAACGCAAUGUUGACAUCCAAGAUAAAUCAUUAUCCACUCCUAACUACUUAAGCAUGGCAUGAGAAACAAUAAUCUCUAAUUGUCAUUGCAAACAUGUUUGAUCAUAAUAUGCUAAAUUGUGGAUACUAGGUUAAACAUAUUUACAAAAAUAGAACAAGUUGAGUUCAUACCCGUUUCUCUUUGCCAUAACCAGUUCACCAAAUAUCGUCAUUAUUGCCUUUCACUUGCACGACCGAACGACAUGAAAAUAAUAAUAGUGCAAGAGUGUCAUGGACUAAGCUGGAAUCUGCAAACACUUUAUUCAAAAAGGAGAAGACAAGGUAUUUUGGGCUCUUUGUUAGAUUAACAAUAAUGCAUAUGAGAGUGAUGUCUACUACGCAACCUUCUUCUUGUAGACUCGUGUUGGGCCUCCAAGCGCAUAGUUUUGUAGGAUAGUAGCAAAUUCCCCUCAAGAUAUGACCUAAGGUUUAUCAAUCCAUGGGAGGCGUAGGAUGAAGAUGGUCUCUCCCAAACAACCCUGCAACCAAAUAACAAAGAGUCUCUUGUGUCCCCAACACACCCAAUACAAUGGUAAAUUGUAUAGGUGCACUAGUUCGGCGAAGAGAUGGUGAUACAAGUGUAAUGUGGAUGGUAGAUAUGGGUUUUUGUAAUAUGAAAAUAUAAAAACAGCAAGGUAGCAAGUAAUAAAACAACACAAAAACGUUAUUGCAAUGCUUGGAAACAAGGCCUAGGGUUCAUACUUUCACUAGUGCAAGUUCUCUCAACAAUGAUAACAUAAUUAGAUCAUAUGGCAAUCCCUCAACAUGCAACAAAGAGUCACUCCGAAGUUCCUAUCGCGGAGAACAUAAGAUGAAAUUGCUUGUAGGGUACGAAACCACCUCAAAGUUAUUCUUUCCGAUCAAUCCAUUGAGCUAUUCCUAUAAGUGUCACAAACAAUAGUUCGUCGUAAAAUAACACCAUAAGACACACAUCAAUCAACCCUAAUCUCACCUAGAUACUCGAAUGUCACCACAAGUAUCACUGGGUCAAUUAUACGAUAUGCAUCUGUGACGCCCCCGAUUUGACCGUACACUAAUCAUGCACGCAAAUGUGUACGAUCACGAUCAGGGACUCACGGGAAGAUAUCACAACACAACUCUACAACAAAAAUAAGUCAUACAAGCAUUAUAAUACAAGCCAGGGCCUCGAGGGCUCGAAUACAAGUGCUCGAUCAUAGACGAGUCAGCGGAAGCAACAAUAUCUGAGUACAGACAUAAGUUAAACAAGUUUGCCUUAAGAAGGCUAGCACAAAAGUAGCAACGAUCGAAAAGGCAAGGCCUCCUGCCUGGGACCUCCUAACUACUCCUGGUCGUCGUCAGCGGCCUGCACGUAGUAGUAGGCACCUCCAGUGCCGUGGGUGUCGUCGUCGACGGUGGCGUCUGGCUCCUGGACUCCAGCAUCUGGUUGCGACAAUCAGGUAGAUAGGAAGGGGGGAAAGAGGGAGAGAAGCAACCGUGAGUACUCAUCCAAAGUACUCGCAAGCAAGGAGCUAUACUACAUAUGCAUGGGUAUAUGUGUAAAGGGGCAUAUCAGUGGACUGAACUGCAGAAUGCCAGAAUUAAAAGGGGGAUAGCUAGUCCUGUCGAAGACUACGCUUCUGGACAUCUCCAUCUUGCAGCAUAUAGAAGAGAAUAGAGUGAAGUCCUCCAAGUAGCAUCGCAUAGCAUAAUCCUACCCGGCGAUCCCCUCCUCGUCGCCCUGUUAGAGAGCGAUCACCAGGUUGUAUCUGGCACUUGGAAGGGUGUAUUUUAUUCAGUAUCCAGUUCUAGUUGUCAUAAGCUCAAGGUACAACUCCGGGUCGUCCUUUUACNNNNNNNNNNNNNNNNNNNNNNNNNNNNNNNNNNNNNNNNNNNNNNNNNNNNNNNNNNNNNNNNNNNNNNNNNNNNNNNNNNNNNNNNNNNNNNNNNNNNNNNNNNNNNNNNNNNNNNNNNNNNNNNNNNNNNNNNNNNNNNNNNNNNNNNNNNNNNNNNNNNNNNNNNNNNNNNNNNNNNNNNNNNNNNNNNNNNNNNNNNNNNNNNNNNNNNNNNNNNNNNNNNNNNNNNNNNNNNNNNNNNNNNNNNNNNNNNNNNNNNNNNNNNNNNNNNNNNNNNNNNNNNNNNNNNNNNNNNNNNNNNNNNNNNNNNNNNNNNNNNNNNNNNNNNNNNNNNNNNNNNNNNNNNNNNNNNNNNNNNNNNNNNNNNNNNNNNNNNNNNNNNNNNNNNNNNNNNNNNNNNNNNNNNNNNNCUGACGUCACGAAGGCUUCGGCUGAUACCACGACGCCGGGAUACCCAUAACUACUCCCGCGUAGAUGGCUAGUGCGUAUAGACCAAAUGGCCAGACUCAGAUCAAAUACCAAGAUCUCGUUAAGCGUGUUAAGUAUCCGCGAACGCCGACCAGGGCCAGGCCCACCUCUCACCUAGGCGGUCUCAACCUGCCCUGUCGCUCCGCCACAAAGAUCCACUUGCGGGUACUCCUACGAGCCGACCCGACUUUAGUCAUCACAUGUGUCAUGUAUGUAGUAUACAAGUAUAUACCCGUGAUCACCGCCCAGGUGAUCACGGCCCGAUAGUAUAGCACAGCAGACGGACAAGAAUGUAGGGCCACUGAUGGAAAACUAGCAUCCUAUACUAAGCAUGUAGGAUUGCAGGUAAAGGUAACAACAGUAGUAGCAAGGAUAGGCUAUGCAUCAGGAUAGGAUAUCGAAAAGCAGUAACAUGCUACACUACUCUAAUGCAAGCAGUAUAGAGAAGAGUAGGCGAUAUCUGGUGAUCAAGGGGGGGGGGCUUGCCUAGUUGCUUUGGCAAGUAGGAGGGGUCGUCGACUCCGUAGUCGAACUGGGCAGCAGCAGUGUCGGUCUCGUAGUCUACCGGAGAGAAGAGGGGGGAAGAAACAGUAAAUACAAUGCAAACAUAAGCAUGACGAUGCGUGACAUGACAAUGAGCGGUGCUAGGGGUGUCCUAACGCGACAGUAGGUGGUACCGGUGAAGGGGGGACAUCCGGGAGGUAUUCCCGAUGUUUCGCGUUUUGGGACAGACGGACCGGAGGGGGAAAGUUGCUACUUCGAUAGGUUAGGGAGGUGUGGUGGAUGAACGGACUGCGUAUUUGGAUUCGUCUCGUCGUUCUGAGCAACUUUCAUAUAGAAAACAUUUUCAUCCGAGUUACGGUUUAAAAGAUAUGAAUUUUCAAAGUUUAUUUGAAUUUCUGGAAUUAUUUAUAUUAAGCAAAAAUGAAUUAUGACGUCAGCAUGAGGCAAUGCUGACGUCAGCAGGUCAACAGGUCGGCUGACCAGUCAAACCAGACGGGUGGGUCCAGUGGGACCCACAUGUCAGUCUCUGUUAUUCUAAUAUCUAUUUAAACUAAUCUAACAGUAUAAUUAGAGGGGUGGGCCCCAUAUGUCAGUGAGUGUUUAGUUAAACUAAUUAUUUUUAUUUAUAAAACAUUUUCUUUUUCUUUUCUUUUUUUUAUAUUUUUGCGGCGGGGCCCGCAUGUCAGUGACUGGGCCUGCCCAGUCAGCAGUUGACUGGGUCAACCCAGUCAACUGGGGCCCGUGGGGGCCACUGGCAGGGGCACUGGGGUGGCCCCAGGCCAGCCACGUCGGCGGCCGGCGCCGGAGCAACGCCGGCGACCAAACGCACGGCGACGCGGCUCGGGAGGGGUACGGGUUUCACGUACAGGGGGUCUUCGGGGGCGUGGCUGGGCGCGUUCGACGCGGCUCGGCGUCGCGCGUCCAACGGCGGUGGUCGGAGGGGCUGGAACGGCCGGGGACGACCGCUACGAGCUCGCCGGCGGCGAGGUGCUACGGGCUUCCGACGGAGGCUGCGUUAGAGCGCGCGAACGGCCGAACUAAGUAGCUAGGCGGGUGCGGCACGGUGCGGUCGGGCUAGCGGGCCUACGCCUGUGACCAUUUGGUCACCGGAGACCCGCCGGCGGCGAGCUCCGCGGCGCGGCGUUCGGGCGCGCGUGAGGGAGCAGCUACGGAACGCGGGCGAGCUAACGGAGAGGGGGAGGAGAAGCGGGAGCUCACAGCGGAGCCGUAGGGAGUGGCAGUGAGCUCGGGGAGGGUGCGGGGUAGCCGGAAUCGGCGACGAUCGACGGCGGCCGUGCGGGGAAGACGCGCUCGGGGAGGUCGGUGCAGUGGCGCUCGGCUCGUUCCCGAUGGCGUAGUCGACGUAGUCGACGGCGGGGAGGCGUUCGGGCACGUCGUCGGGGCAAUCGGGGCACGGUGGCCGCGAGUUCGACGGUGAACGGCGGCGAGCACGCGCAGGCAGAGGGGAUCGAAGGGGAGAGGGAGGUGGAUCUGGCGGGGGAGAGGCGCAAAGGCCGAGGGGUGAGCGGGGGCGAGUGGGAGAGAGGCCCGAGGANNNNNNNNNNNNNNNNNNNNNNNNNNNNNNNNNNNNNNNNNNNNNNNNNNNNNNNNNNNNNNNNNNNNNNNNNNNNNNNNNNNNNNNNNNNNNNNAGGGACGAGCGGGGCGAGUGGGAGAGAGGCCCGAGGAGGCGGGGGGAGCUGGCGCCCUUAUCCUCUCCGGCGUCGGUGCCGGCGAGGUGGUCGGGCGGGAGCGCGCCCCUGUUCCGACCCCGGUCGGGGGAACAGGGAAGGGGACGCGGGGGAGAGGUGGGCUGGGCCGGGGGGUCGGGGGUGCGGCCCAGUUUGGGCCGGGGGUUCGGUCCAGGUGGGCCACGGGUCCAGUGGGGGGGUGGGCUUCUCCUUUUUUUUCUUUUUCUCUGACUGUGUUCUGUUUUCUGUUUUCUUUUUAUUUGUUUAUUUUCUUUUCUGUUUUAUUUCAUUUAAAAGUAUUUAGGUAUUUUAUAAAAACGUGUUUUCUCCACCAUAAUUACCAGUGUAAUAUUUGGCACCCACUGAACAUUUUUGUUUGAGUUUUUGAAAACUUUUAUUUUUCACUUUAAUUAUAUUUGAAGUUUGAACUAGGAGUUUGAAAAGGAAGGUGAUUCAAAUGUGAUCAGCCCUGUUUAGCAACAUGAUUAGCUUAAUCACAGGGAGUUACUAUGGCAUGAUUCCCAGGGUGUUACAAAUCUCCUCCACUACAAGAAAUCUCGUCCCGAGAUUUAGGAGGUAGAAGGAAACAGUGCAGGGUAUUCUUCGCGCAGACGAUCCUCUCGUUCCCAAGUGGCCUCAUCUUCAGAAUGGUGCGACCACUGGACUUUGAGAAACUUGAUCGCCUUCUGACGUGUGCGGCGUUCAGCUUGGUCGAGAAUGCGGACCGGAUGCUCCUUAUAGGAGAGGUCUUGCUGCAAUUCGAGCACUUCAUGAUCCACAGCUCGGAUUGGAUCCUUGAAGCAACGGCGGAGCUGUGACACAUGGAACACAUCGUGAACCUGAGAAAGGUUCGGCGGUAGCUCCAGUUGGUAUGCCACUUUUCCACGCUUUUCGAGAAUAGUGAAUGGGCCAAUAUAGCGAGGAGCUAGUUUGCCCUUGAUCCCGAAGCGGUGAGCACCCUUCAUAGGUGUGACUCGAAGAUAAGCCUUUUCGCCAGGUUGAUAGACCAUGUCUUUAUGAUGACGGUCAUACUGACUCUUCUGACGUGACUGAGCAGUCUUGAGAUUCUCGCGAAUAAUGCGGACUUGUUCUUCGGCAUCUUGGAUAAUAUCCGGACCGAAGAGUGGACGUUCCCCAGUUUCUGACCAGUUCAGAGGGGUUCGGCACUUUCGUCCAUAUAACACUUCGAAGGGGGCCAUCUUCAGACUAGCUUGAUAGCUAUUAUUAUAAGAGAACUCAGCAUACGGGAGAGAUUCCUCCCAUUUCUUGCCGAAGGAAAUAACGCAAGCUCGAAGCAUGUCUUCGAGAACUUGGUUGACGCGUUCAACUUGUCCUUGCGAUUGAGGAUGAAAUGCAGUACUGAAUGACAGAUGAGUUCCCAUAGCUUCUUGGAAACUUGCCCAGAAUCUUGAAGUGAAUAAGCUGCCACGGUCUGAGCUGAUAACCAAUGGAAUACCGUGGAGUGAAACAAUCCUGGACAUAUAGAGCGUUGCCAACUGGCUAGCAGUGAUCGUUUCUUUGACUGCCAGAAAAUGUGCAACUUUGGAAAGUCGGUCAAUGACGACAAGAAUAGCAUCAUUACCUUUCUGUGAUUUGGGAAAUCCAGUGACGAAGUCCAUCUCAACAUGGUCCCAUUUCCAUUCAGGAAUAGAGAUAGGUUGCAGAGUUCCAGCAGGCCUUUGAUGUUCUGCUUUGAUACGACGGCAAACGUCACACUCAGCAACAUAACGAGCAAUGUCUUGCUUCAUAUUAGACCACCAGAAUCUCUGUCGGAUGUUUUGAUACAUCUUUGUACUACCAGGAUGGAUACACAGAGGCAUAUCAUGAGCUUCUUUCAUAACUUCCUGUGUCAUAUCCAAGUUUUUCUCUGCACAUGGCACCACUAGGCGGCCCUUGAAGUAUAGGGUGCCAUCUUCAGCAAUGGUGAAGAAUGAGGGCUUUCCUUCUGCGAGGUAGCGCUUAAUCUUGUGGGCUUCAGAGUCAUACUUCUGUAGCCUUUUGAUGCUGUCCUCGAGAUCUGGUUUAGCAACUAGGGUAUUGAGGGAACCUUGGGUAACAACGUGGAGGUUCACCUUGCCAAACUCCUUAGGAGGGGGAGCGAGUGCACCCGGAGGAACAAUAUGGAGGUUCAGCUUCCUGAAUUCUUCAACAAGCGAGGGCUGAACUUUGUGAACCUGGAGGUGGUUGCAGUAAGACUUGCGGCUCAAGGCAUCAGCCAUUACAUUAGCCUUGCCUGGCGUAUAGGAAAUACCCAAGUCAAAGUCUGUAACAAGCUCCAUCCAUCUCUGCUGACGGAGGUUCAGAUCUGGCUGAGUAAACAGAUACUUCAGACUUUGGUGGUCGGUGAAGAUCUCGCAACGAUUACCGAGAAGGUAAUGUCGCCACUGCUUUAGCGCAUGAAUGACAGCAGCAAGUUCGAGGUCGUGAACUGGGUAGUUCUCUUCGUGAGGGCGCAAUUGUCGAGAGGCAUAAGCAAUCACUUUGCGGUCUUGCAUUAGGACACAGCCUAAUCCUUGACGGGAAGCGUCGCAGUAAAUGACGAAGUCCUUCUUAGUAUCAGGUGGAGCUAGGACUGGGGCAGAAGUCAACUUGUCUUUGAGUGCCUGGAAACUUUCCUGACAUUUGUCUGUCCAUUGGAACUUGACGCCCUUAUGUAACAGGUUAGUCAGAGGCCUGGCGAUCUUGGAGAAGUUCUCGACAAAUCGACGGCAAUAGCUGGCGAGACCGAGAAAACUUCUGACUUGCUUAACGUUCUUGGGAGGAGUCCAAUCAAGAAUAGCCUGAACUCGUUCAGGGUUGACGGCAAUACCAUCCUUAGAGAUGACAUGCCCAAGAUAGGUUACUUCCGGUAGCCAGAAUUCACAUUUGGAGAACUUGGCAUAUAGUUGAUGUUCUCGUAGCUUUUCCAGCACAAGUCGAAGAUGUUCAGCAUGUUCUUCUUCGUUUUUGGAAAAUAUCAGGAUAUCAUCCAGAUAAACCACGACGAACUUGUCGAGGUAAUCCAUGAAUAUGUAGUUCAUCAGACGAGAGAAGGUGGCUGGAGCAUUGGUUAAACCGAAAGACAUGACGGUGUACUCGUAUGAACCAUAGCGAGUCACGAAGGCGGUCUUUGGGAUAUCCUCUUCGCGAACACGGAUCUGGUGGUAGCCCAACCUCAAGUCGAGCUUAGAGAACACUGACGAACCCGCCAGUUGAUCAUACAGAUCAUUGAUCCGAGGAAGAGGGUAUUUAUUCUGAAUGGUAGCUUGGUUUAUAGGAGGUAGUCUUGAACUAAUCGGUUUGUCCCAUCCUUCUUCUUGACAAAGAGAGAAGGUGCUCCCCAAUGAGAGCAACUUGGGCGAAUGAAUCCUUUGCGAAGAGACUUGUCGAUUUCCUCCUUAAGCUCAAGGAGUUCAUGUGGCGGCAUUUUGUAGGGUCGCUUGGCUAUAGGAGUGGUGCCUGGUUUCAAGUCGAUGAUGAAUUCGACAGCUCUAGCAGGGGGAAUCCCCGGAAGUUCUUCAGGGAAGACGUCGAGGAAUUCACGCACGACGGGAAUGUUUUCAAUGCCCUCGAGUGGUGCAGCGUUCAAUGCAUUCAAUGCAUAGAGCCUUGCCUCGACAUUUUGCACCAGAUGGGCUUGGUAAGUAACUAUCUCAUCUGAGGGGUGUAGCAGAUGGACGGUCUUAGUGGUGCAAACGAUUGAAGCAGUAUGCGCUUUUAACCAAUUCAUUCCCAGAAUGAGAUCAAUGCUACAGGACUUCAGUACGAUGGGAGAGACAAGAAAUUCCAGUCCUUCAAUUUCAACAGUAACAUCGUGACUAACCAUAGAGGUUUGACAUUGGCCCGCAGGGGUGUGUACCACUAGCGGAGUGUUUAUCUCUUCGUAAUUAAUGCCAUGCAGGAAUGCAAAUUCUGCUGAUAUGAAUGAAUGGGAUGCUCCUGUAUCAAAUAAAACGGAUGCUGGUACUGAAUUUACGAGGAGUGUACCCAUCACAGUAGCAGGCUGGUCUUGAGCUUCGCUGAGAUCAACGUGGUUGGCAUGAGCACGACCAUAAGACUUAGCAUUGUUGUUGCGGGGCUGGUUGUUACCACGGCCAGCUGCUGGAAGGGCCAGUUGAUUCUGGUUCUGAUAGCAGUUCCUGGCAAAGUGACCCGGUUGACCACACUUGAAGCACAGACCAUUAUCGGGAGUGGGAACAGGAGCCCCAGGUGGGGGAGCUGGUAGCUUUGACUGCCUAGAUGGUGGAGGAGGCAGACGCGGUGCAGCAUAAGAUUUCUUGGGAGCAGGUGCAUUUGGACAAUACAUGCUAUUCGGGAUCCAUAUCUUACGCUUCUGUGAGGGCGAGCCCGAAGAUGAGCCCGUGUCACAGUUGCGCCUCUGAGAGCUCUGGUAUUCCUGCAGACCAGUCUCGACAUUGAUGGCCUUAUUCACCAAGGUGGCGAAAUCGGCGAAGUCAUGCACUAGAAGUGCGAGCUUGAUGUCAGCUUGUAGUCCAUCACGUAACUUCUCCUGUCUGCGUGCAUCAGUUGCAAUGUCUUCUUCAGCAUAGCGGGACAAGUCCAGAAACUCCCGCUGAUAAGCUUCGACAGUUUUGUUGCCUUGGGUGAGGUUGCGAAACUCACGCUUCUUCCGGUCCAUGACUCCUUGAGGAAUGAAGCGGGCACGGAAAGCAGCUUGGAAGUCUGGCCAUGUGAUGAUUGUUCCAGCUGGCAGAGUACGCCUGUGGCUGUCCCACCACUGAGCUGCGGGUCCCUUCAGAAAGAAGGAAGCAAAGUUGACAUAGCUGGCAGGGGCUACAUCAGCAGACUCCAUCUCAUAGGUGAUGUCACGGAGCCAGUCAUCAGCAUCCAGAGGCUGAGUUGAGCUGCGGUAGAUGGUUGGGUUGAGGCGUAAGAAAUCUUGAAGAGUCACUUGAGCUGGCUGUUGGUUCAUAUUGGGGCGAGGGAACUGAGCCAUCAUAUUUUCCAUGAAUUGGCGGUUCAGUUCAAACUGUUGGAUCAUACCAGCCAUGUACUCAGGUGGUGGUGGGGCAUCGCCACCACGACCACGACCACCUGGUCUAACCAUCCUGCUAAUAUAUAACAGGGGUAGUUCAACAUUGAGAAAUUUGCAAUGACAAGAAUCAUUCAUGAUGAAACAUGCAUAGUGAAAGGAGCACGAUAGCUACUACAUAGUAGUCGGCAUAGCUUACAAAAGGGGUCAUGCAUAGAUUUCAGUACACAGAGUUCAGUACAUAGACUAAAACAUCAUAGGCGGCACACAGGCUCGCGGCGACUGCAACUAAUACUAACUAAGCAAGACUACAUCGGUCCCAAGAGGUACUGUGGAGGUAAUCGUAGCCCGACAGCUGGCAGUGAGGCAACGGAUAGCCCUCCACGUCAGCAGACUGGGAGCCGCGGAUACUCAGGUGUAGAGCCCGACGCUCAGGUGGCAGAAGAGGACCAAGUGCGGGAGAGUAGCCUCCCACCUCUGGCCAACCGACACCGUGGGGCAUCACGGUCCUGGCUGGGUAGAUCGCAGUACGCGGUACCUGUCCAGAUCGGACAAAGGGGUGCAGCAGCGUCAGAGCACGGUAAAGGUGCUGACGGGUGGUGUACAUCUCGUGGCGAAGAGCUCGGUUAGCUCGAUCCAGCCCAUCAGCAUGCAGAACCAGGUGUCACAUCCCUAGUUCUGGUUUGCUCUAGGCUAGCUAGUCAGGUGUGCAUCAUGUUUAAGUUUCAAAUGAAUUUGAAAUGGGGAUUGCCUAAACCCUAGCAUUAAAGGAAUUCACUAGGUUCAACUAAAAUAUUCUCAGUGACUCCAAAUGGCUUUCAAAAAUGUUCAUCAUUUCUGGGAAAUGCUGGAAGCAAUAACCAGACGUGUUGCACAUUUUUCCAUGACAUAUUUGGGCUCUGAAUUAAAUCAUAUAGUAUUUGCAUUUGGGCAUUUAAAUGCUAUUAAAUAUUUUAAAUGCUCAAAUAAUCAUAAACUAAAAUGUCUACUGUUGGAUAUAUUCUAAACAAUAGCCAUGAUUAGUUUCAUGAUUUUUGGAAAUGCCCUGGCAUUUUUAACAAAGCCCAGAACAAAAUAAUAAAAUAGAAAACAGAAACUAAAUUAGAGAAAAGAGAGGAAGAGAGUUACCUGGGCCACUUACCUGGCCAGCCCAGCCCACUGGCCUAGUGCCAGUCAUCGCCUACCUCUGCCAGUAGGCAGAGGAGGGAGACAGCGCACGCGCGCGCGAGGAGCCACGCCGUCACCUGCUUGCCGCCGAGCCGCUGGACGCGUGGAUGAGCUCCUCCUCGUCACCCCGCACCCCUUGGAACCCCCCUCGCUCACUGCCUCGUCCCCAUCCCCUCUCUGAUUCUCUCCCCUGCACCGCCCGAACGCCGCUCGCCGUCGCCGUAGCUACUGCCCUCGCCGAGCCCCGUUGCCGUGUCCCACUGGUCCGCCGUCGAUCACCGCUUCACCAAGCCGAAGGACGCACCCGCGGGACGCCUGAAACGACGCCACCGUCUUCGUUUCCACCGCCGGCCGCCGGAGAUCCCCCUCGAUGCUCUGCUCGCUCCGGUGCCUCCCCGAGCUCGCCGAGGCCACCGCUGCACCCGCUGUGAGCUUCUGUGUCGUUUCCCCCUCUCCCCUUGCUCGUUUUCUUCCUCUAACAUCGAUGGCCGUCGGAGCCGAGAGCUCUUCGCCGCCGGCCAUGUCGCCGCCGUGGCCACCGUCACCUAUAGCCGCAACUGAGCGUGUCACCGUGCUCAGCACGCCGUCAGGAGUCGCUAGCACUCACCCACUGCUCCUGCCGUGCUUCGCCACACCGAAACCGCCGAGACCCGAACUCCGGCCGCCGCAAACCUCAUCGCCGGCGCUGCUCCCGGCCACCCCAGCGCCCGCAACCGCCACCGUUGGAUGCGCAACUCCGCCCUCAUCCCGUAGCUGUGCUCCGCGCGCCAAACGGCGCCCCGUAGGGCAAACCCGCGGCUCGCCGCCGCGUCUGGCCUCGCCGGCGGCUAAACGCCGGUGAGUUGACCUCGUUUGACCAGGCUGACCCCCUCCCCUGAGUCAAUGACAAGUGGGGCCGCCUGAUAAUUAACCUGGGUUUACCUUUAAUUAACUCUAAAUUGGUUAGUUAAUUAACAGUGACACUGACGUGCGGACCCCACCGUCCAGGUUUGACCUGGACCGCCCAGUUGACCUGCUGACGUCGUUGUGACGUAAUGCUGACGCUAUAAAUCAUUUUCUGGAUUUAUUCUUAUACAGAAAAUUCCAGAAAAUGUUUAAAACUUCAAAAACCCAUAGAAAUUCAACCGUAGCUCCAAAUCAAAUAAUUUAUAUAUGAAAAAUUAUCAGAAAAAUCCAAUCUAUCCAUUUAUGCUACUUUCAUGCAUGAAAAACCAACUUAUACCUGCUGUAUAAGUGAAAACAUUCAAAUGGCAUUUUAAAUGCUCAAACUAGAGUUUGCAUUUGGUUCAAAUGGACUCCCUUGCACUUGUUGCUAGCUGCAUUAGGUCAAUUCACAGCAUAUUGCCAUGUCAUGAUCAUGCAUCAUAUUGUGCAUUGUAUUGAUUGAUUUCUUCUCUGUUGCCGGUAUUUGUCCCCCCCGGUAGAUGAUGUUCCGGCGUUGUGAUCGUUGACACUAAUGAAGACUCAAUGCUAUCUUCAGAAGUGCCAGGCAAGCAAAACCCCCUUGCUCACUCCGAUACAAUCCCACUCUCUCGCUCCUGCUCUCUUUUACUGCAUUAGGACAACAACGUUUCAACUGUUACAUGCUGCGGUAGUUGAACCCCUUUCCUCUGCAUGACCUGUCAUUGCCACAGUAAAUAGAUGAAACCCACUAGCAUGAGUAGGAGUUGUUUGAGCCCUGAUGUGCCUACUCAUUCAUGCUUGUUUGUCAUGCCUGCUAUUGCUUAGAGUUGUGUCAGGUCUGAUUCAUCGGGAAUGAAUUGGAAAGUUGUGAACAUGUCCUACUGUGUGAGAGCUAAGUGUGUGAACACGAUUUGGUAAAGGUAGCGGUGAGAGGCCAUGUAGGAGUACAUGGUGGGUUGUCUCAUUGAAACCGUCCUCAGGAACUGAGUUCUGUGUUUGUGAUCCAUGAACAGUUACUACCACACAUUGGGUUCCGGUAACUCGACCCCUCUCGGCUUAUUAACCGCCUCGAUCUCUGUCCAGGAGUUGCAACUAGUCUCUGGUGUUUGUAGGUAGUGUUAGUAGUCUACCAAGUGGCACCCGGUACAGGUGGGCUUGGGAUAGACUAGGCACACGUGGCCUGGUGUACCGAGUGGCACCCGGAUGGUGGGCUCGGGAACCCUGCACACAUCGUUUGGGGCCGUGAGCGACACCCCGGCCGGAUCUCCUUGCGGAUGGAACCCGAAUAGGCGAUAAACCUGGACGAGAGACUUGUGUGGUUAGUCAGGUCGUGGCCGACUCCCUCGCCAGGCUUCCGCUUGAAGGUUGCCGAGGUACACGAGGUGUACAUGGUGGUAAGUGGCGAGAGCGUGUGUGACGAAGUACACCCCUGCAGGGUUAAUAUGAUCUAUUCGAAUAGCCGUGUCCGCGGUAAAGGACUUCUGGGUUGCCUAUAACAGUUCAUAGACAAGUGAAAGUGGAUACUCUAAAAUGCGCAAGAUAAGCGUGAGUGCUAUGGAUGGCGUUCUCGUAGGGAGACGGGAGCGAAUCCAUAGUGGUGUAUUGAGAUGGUGAAUAUGUGGACUCGUGUGCGCCACCUCAAAAGAGUUACUUGCAGUCAUAGUUUAGGAUAGCCACCGAGUCAAAGCUGGCUUGCUGCAGUUAAACUCCACCACCCCCUUUGUUGAUACCGAUGCAUAUGUAGAUAGUUCUGAUGUAAGUCUUGCUGGGUACAAUUGUACUCACGUUUGCCUAUUUUAUGUUUUGCAGAGAGACGUCAGUCUCACCAGUAGUUCCGUGUGGACUUCGACGUUUAGCUUGUUACCUCAGCUACGAUCUUGUGCCCUCGGCAGGAUCUGGUAGAUAGUCAGGCUUCUCAGCCUUUUCAUUGAUAGAUGUCUGUACUCAGACAUGUUAAGCUUCCGCAUGUGUUUUGACUUGUAUGCUCUGAAUGUUGGGUCAUGAGACCCAUGUUUGUAAUAUCUGGCUCUUCGGAGCCUAAUGAAUAAAUACUCUGAGUCGUAGAGUCUUGUUGUGAUGCCAUGUUGUACUUGCACAUAUCGAGCAUAUUGUGUGUAUGGUUGAAAUGCUUGGUAUGUGUGGGAUCUGACAAUCUAGUUGUCUAUCCUUAGCAGCCUCUCUUAUGAGGAAAUGUAGUCUAGUGCCUCCUUGAGCCAUAGUAGUCCGCUACAGCCCGGUUCACCGGAGUCCUGCUAGCCCAGCACUACUGCUCUGGACACUUGACUGGCCGGCAUGUGUUUCAUAUCGUUCCUGUGUCUGUCCCUUCGGGGAAAUGUCACGCGGUGACAUCCGGAGUCCUGCCUAGCCUGCUACAGCCCGGAUUCCCGGAGUCCUGUUAGCCCAGUGCUACAGCCCGGAUUCGCACGCUGCUGACCGACACGUUCGAUGUUGAUUCAUGUAUGCCUGUACCCAUACGUUAGUGCCGCUUUGGGUUCACGACUAGCCAUGUCGGCCCGGAUUCUCUGUCAUAUGGAUGCUAGCGACACUGUCAUAUACGUGAGCCAAAAGGCGCAAACGGUCCCAGGCCAUGGUAAGGCGACACCCGUGGGAGUACCGUGCGUGAGGCCGCAAAGUGAUAUGAGGUGUUACAGGCUAGAUCGGUGUGACUUGGAAUCGGGGCCCCGACAGCUUUGGUAUCAGAGCCUGACUGCCUGUAGGUUUACGAAGCCAAACUGGUCGAAGUUGAGUCUAGAAAUGCUUUAGUUAUAUAAGGGAAUUGAUUGUGGAAGGGAACGUAAGGCUCUUUUUACUCCCUUACCUUAUGUCCUCUGAUCUGAGUCACCCUCUUCUCUUCUACGGGGGUUAAGAACUAGGCUUCUCAUCUUUCUAUCAGGAUCACGUGUUACUAAUCCGUAGACUCGUAGGAUUGUUGGUCUGAAGCCUCAGUUCAGUUUCUACUACUUCCGUGUGUUGAUAGCUGAUCUCGGAACCUUGAUAUUAUGAUGUUGAGUGGUUAUGCCACCAUUUUGCAGGAUGUCUCAAAUCCUUUGAGCAUUUACAGCCAUCAUGCUGUCCGAGUCAUUCCAGGUUUCUAAACAAUCUGAUGCAUUUGCAAAAUCCUUUCCUCUGUUUUUGCGUCCCUUUGGGCCAGAUUAAGCACACUGUCGGUGCGUUGAGGCACUCUAUUGCCUCGGUAUAUGUGUUGGAGCUAUUAUUAUGGCCCUAGGUGUUUUAGGGAGUCGCCUAGUAAUCUAGCCAUGUUUUGUGUUCCCGCUGUGAUGAUUCUGGCCAUUAUUCUCGAAAGCAUCCCGUGAUGCCAUUUAGUAGUAGGUAUUCUAUUUCUGGGUUCUUGAACCCAAGAUUCACUCUACUUACCUCGUGUUGAUAGUGUUGCUAGUUCCUUUAGGAUAUUAGUAACCUUUGCAUUAGUCCUCGAGGUCCGUGGUAUAUCGUUCCUCCAAAUACCAUGAACCAUUCUUGGCGGGAGUUCUUUUGAAACCAAAAGAUCACAACAAGAGUGAUCUCGAUAAGUUCUCCAUUCUACAUUGUGAAUCUGCCAGUCCUACCUUUCUGCAUGGGUUAUCUGGAAGAAACCUGUUGAACUUGGUUCGACAUUAAUCUAUGCAUCCACAACUCAGAAAAACAUAUGUCCCCUUGAGUUGUCCCUCUUUAGCAGUAUUCCGACCUUCAUCUAUCAAUUGAUAGUCAAGAGUAUGUGUGCAAUCGUGCUCAUUGAUGCCUAUUAUUCUUGUGGUCCGUCAAGCCAUUCUAUUCUGGAUGGCUAGGAGAAACAAACUCCAGUACCUCGUCCAUUUCUAGGAUUGGGUCAAAGUAGUUGUAUUCCGCAGAUCAAAAUGCCAAUCCAGCUUUUGCUCCGCUCUACCUUGGAGCGUUACCAUCUUUAUGUCAAGACUGUCAUGAGAAUUGCACCACCUCUUAUGAAUUCUUGACGCAGUGAUACUUCUCGCCAUCAUUAUUCAUUCCUCGGUCCCGUGUUGUCACAACCGGAAUACCGACAAGUGAACCGUGAUGUGUGAAAUCAAUACUCUGAGCAACUCGUUGCUUGGUAGUUAAAGGGCAAUACUCUCAAUCUUAGCGUGCUGGUUAUUGAACCAUCACCCUAAGAUUGAUCGUGCUACCUAGUCCUUAUUUUUGGUGCACUCUUCAAUCAAUGAGUUAGGAUUUUGUCAAUCCUUGCUUAUGUGAUCAUAUCGUCUUGUCUGAAAAGCAAGAUUGUUCUCGAGCUUAGUGACAUAUCGGUGGUACGUGAUUUUCCGAAUAUCUUCUCGGAAGUAUCACCAGGUUGUCACCUGACCGCUAUGUUGAAUUCGUGUUCAAGUUGGUUUUCUUAUAAACCACCCCUUCUCCAAGAAUCUGUGUUGGAUACCCCUGAGCUAGUUGGUUAAGCUUAACAACUUGGAGAGUUGGAAGAUAAAAGCUUGCCUGGCUUAGUUCAUUUUAAGGGAUAUCCUUUUGUGUUGUGUGUUGUAGAAAGAUGAUUUCUUCAUCGAUUGGUCCUCGUGAUCAAUUAAUGGACCUAUCAUCUUAACCAAACUUUGAUUUGAGUAUGGGCUAUUGUCAAAUCAAAUCAGAACCAACGAUGUUCGUAAUGUUGUCUUACUCGUGGUUGAUCCCUCGAGCAUACACCAUUAUAUCUUUUGGAUCUGACCAAUGCUAUCACCGUGUUCACAUGAUGGUGGAAGUCCAGUGAUAUGGAAAUUCCGAUGAGUUGCUAUUGAGCCCAUCAGCAGCAUCUCGUCUCCUCCAUGAUUCAUGUUGAACAUCCAGCUAGUGUUGGAAACUUGUGUAAGCAUUUUCUUCAUGCCCCGUUCAUGAAGUAUAUGUUUGGAUGAAAGUAGUGACUUCCUCUAAAUUCACAUGCAAUCGAUGCAAGUUGCCGCCGUGAAUUCGAGGGAGCUUGUUUUUGCUUCCUUUGGAAUCAUCCCAAGUCAGUCAUGCAUUCGUGCGAAGUAUUCUAUGGUUUGGUAGAUUGAUUACCUCCAUUCCAUAUGUAUCCCUAGCACACCAAGCCACUAACUCACUUGUUCAAGGAGAAGGAGUUCCUCCAUAAGAGCUAAUCCGGACUUAUGAAAGAACUUCGAUAUCCCCGUUGAUGGUUCCCAACCAGAACUCGGUAGUGUUUCAUUGUAAGGCUACCAUGUGGGCAUGCUUGUCUGGGACAACGUGUUCACAUGUUUGUAGCAGAACUAGCUCAUGUUUUGGAGCUUACUACCGUAGUCCAUCUUCCGAGAAUCUCGCAACGCCAUCUCGUCGAUUUGUGUUGCAAACCUUCAUUUUCUUCUAGACUCGAUGAGUCUGGAAUAUCCUGUUACCAACCAGAUCUGAAUCUCAGGCAGAUAUGAUGGUUGGAACAUCUCCCAAUAGCUAUAAUAAUGGUCUUCGUAACCCGGUAAGUGGAUGUUGUGGCCAACACACCCAGCCGGAAGACCUAUUAUUGUAGUAUCCUGAUUGAUAAAGUUGGCCACCUCCCCAUAAGGAUUCCGUAGGAUUUACUUCCGUAGUAUUCCUUAUGGAUUCUUGUGUUUCCGAAGUCCGACCUUUUACUUGAUGUUCUAGAUAUCAAACCAUAUCUAUGAAUGGGAUAUGCUAGUGCAUCAAGGAGAACAUUAGAAGCGGAGUGCUAAAUGUCUCUCGGUCGAUCAUCCAGAUUUGCUUCUUUGGCAUUGCUAAGGUAAAAUCUGAGAAAGUGUUGUCCUCCUUUGCACCUGCAACCUCCAUCACCGUUCAUCAUGGUAGUAUGAUGUGUUGCCCGGAUCCUCGGCACGGAUGUUGGUAAAACCUUGAUGAACAUGGAAAUGCUCAAGUUCUUGAAAGCACGCUCAGUCACUAGGUUAUAUCCUUGGUAUCAACUGGAAUGUGCCUUCCAUUUGCCGAGUUGUUCUAUAACCAUAGCUUCCUUUCCAAAUUGAGUGUGCCAUUCUUUUGAAUUCUUUCAAACGAUCAUUGUAAAUUGCCUUACGCUGGUAUAAAGAGUUUCAAUGAUCUUUGUAUCAAAAGUAAUUCUUUUUGCCACUUAAGGGAAGAAUUCCACGAGUCACCUUUCCUAAGGUGCCCCGUUAUGGAGUCAUGUAGAUUUCUCCUCGCUACUUGAAACCUUUGUCAUCUGUUUUCUUUCCAUCCACUAUCUCAACUCAAGAGUUGUUCCAACGUCUCACUCCAUGAGUUGAUCUUGUAUAGCUCGAUCUUCGAGAAGAUCAAUCCUGUAGAGUUUCCCUCUCUUCCGUCAUCAUAGUUGGAUGAAGCUCUCGAAAGAAAAGAUGUCAAGAUCAAGAUGAUGCAAUGAAUCAACACCUUCGAGGAGAACAAUUGGAUCGUGAAGAUUGUGUUAGCUUUUGUGUCCCCUUUUCCUCUUACCCUACGCUUGAAUCUCGGGACGAGAUUCUUGUUUUAGUGGGGGUGAGUUGUCACAUCCCUAGUUCUGGUUUGCUCUAGGCUAGCUAGUCAGGUGUGCAUCAUGUUUAAGUUUCAAAUGAAUUUGAAAUGGGGAUUGCCUAAACCCUAGCAUUAAAGGAAUUCACUAGGUUCAACUAAAAUAUUCUCACUGACUCCAAAUGGCUUUCAAAAAUGUUCAUCAUUUCUGGGAAAUGCUGGAAGCAAUAACCAGACGUGUUGCACAUUUUUCCAUGACAUAUUUGGGCUCUGAAUUAAAUCAUAUAGUAUUUGCAUUUGGGCAUUUAAAUGCUAUUAAAUAUUUUAAAUGCUCAAAUAAUCAUAAACUAAAAUGUCUACUGUUGGAUAUAUUCUAAACAAUAGCCAUGAUUAGUUUCAUGAUUUUUGGAAAUGCCCUGGCAUUUUUAACAAAGCCCAGAACAAAAUAAUAAAAUAGAAAACAGAAACUAAAUUAGAGAAAAGAGAGGAAGAGAGUUACCUGGGCCACUUACCUGGCCAGCCCAGCCCACUGGCCUAGUGCCAGUCAUCGCCUACCUCUGCCAGUAGGCAGAGGAGGGAGACAGCGCACGCGCGCGCGAGGAGCCACGCCGUCACCUGCUUGCCGCCGAGCCGCUGGACGCGUGGAUGAGCUCCUCCUCGUCACCCCGCACCCCUUGGAACCCCCCCUCGCUCACUGCCUCAUCCCCAUCCCCUCUCUGAUUCUCUCCCCUGCACCGCCCGAACGCCGCUCGCCGUCGCCGUCGCCGUAGCUACUGCCCUCGCCGAGCCCCGUUGCCGUGUCCCACUGGUCCGCCGUCGAUCACCGCUUCACCAAGCCGAAGGACGCACCCGCGGGACGCCUGAAACGACGCCACCGUCUUCGUUUCCACCGCCGGCCGCCGGAGAUCCCCCUCGAUGCUCUGCUCGCUCCGGUGCCUCCCCGAGCUCGCCGAGGCCACCGCUGCACCCGCUGUGAGCUUCUGUGUCGUUUCCCCCUCUCCCCUUGCUCGUUUUCUUCCUCUAACAUCGAUGGCCGUCGGAGCCGAGAGCUCUUCGCUGCCGGCCAUGUCGCCGCCGUGGCCACCGUCACCUAUAGCCGCAACUGAGCGUGUCACCGUGCUCAGCACGCCGUCAGGAGUCGCUAGCACUCACCCACUGCUCCUGCCGUGCUUCGCCACACCGAAACCGCCGAGACCCGAACUCCGGCCGCCGCAAACCUCAUCGCCGGCGCUGCUCCCGGCCACCCCAGUGCCCGCAACCGCCACCGUUGGAUGCGCAACUCCGCCCUCAUCCCGUAGCUGUGCUCCGCGCGCCAAACGGCGCCCCGUAGGGCAAACCCGCGGCUCGCCGCCGCGUCUGGCCUCGCCGGCGGCUAAACGCCGGUGAGUUGACCUCGUUUGACCAGGCUGACCCCCUCCCCUGAGUCAAUGACAAGUGGGGCCGCCUGAUAAUUAACCUGGGUUUACCUUUAAUUAACUCUAAAUUGGUUAGUUAAUUAACAGUGACACUGACGUGCGGACCCCACCGUCCAGGUUUGACCUGGACCGCCCAGUUGACCUGCUGACGUCGCUGUGACGUAAUGCUGACGCUAUAAAUCAUUUUCUGGAUUUAUUCUUAUACAGAAAAUUCCAGAAAAUGUUUAAAACUUCAAAAACCCAUAGAAAUUCAACCGUAGCUCCAAAUCAAAUAAUUUAUAUAUGAAAAAUUAUCAGAAAAAUCCAAUCUAUCCAUUUAUGCUACUUUCAUGCAUGAAAAACCAACUUAUACCUGCUGUAUAAGUGAAAACAUUCAAAUGGCAUUUUAAAUGCUCAAACUAGAGUUUGCAUUUGGUUCAAAUGGACUCCCUUGCACUUGUUGCUAGCUGCAUUAGGUCAAUUCACAGCAUAUUGCCAUGUCAUGAUCAUGCAUCAUAUUGUGCAUUGUAUUGAUUGAUUUCUUCUCUGUUGCCGGUAUUUGUCCCCCCCGGUAGACGAUGUUCCGGCGUUGUGAUCGUUGACACUAAUGAAGACUCAAUGCUAUCUUCAGAAGUGCCAGGCAAGCAAAACCCCCUUGCUCACUCCGAUACAAUCCCACUCUCUCGCUCCUGCUCUCUUUUACUGCAUUAGGACAACAACGUUUCAACUGUUACAUGCUGCGGUAGUUGAACCCCUUUCCUCUGCAUGACCUGUCAUUGCCACAGUAAAUAGAUGAAACCCGCUAGCAUGAGUAGGAGUUGUUUGAGCCCUGAUGUGCCUACUCAUUCAUGCUUGUUUGUCAUGCCUGCUAUUGCUUAGAGUUGUGUCAGGUCUGAUUCAUCGGGAAUGAAUUGGAAAGUUGUGAACAUGUCCUACUGUGUGAGAGCUAAGUGUGUGAACACGAUUUGGUAAAGGUAGCGGUGAGAGGCCAUGUAGGAGUACAUGGUGGGUUGUCUCAUUGAAACCGUCCUCAGGAACUGAGUUCUGUGUUUGUGAUCCAUGAACAGUUACUACCACACAUUGGGUUCCGGUAACUCGACCCCUCUCGGCUUAUUAACCGCCUCGAUCUCUGUCCAGGAGUUGCAACUAGUCUCUGGUGUUUGUAGGUAGUGUUAGUAGUCUACCAAGUGGCACCCGGUACAGGUGGGCUUGGGACAGACUAGGCACACGUGGCCUGGUGUACCGAGUGGCACCCGGAUGGUGGGCUCGGGAACCCUGCACACAUCGUUUGGGGCCGUGAGCGACACCCCGGCCGGAUCUCCUUGCGGAUGGAACCCGAAUAGGCGAUAAACCUGGACGAGAGACUUGUGUGGUUAGUCAGGUCGUGGCCGACUCCCUCGCCAGGCUUCCACUUGAAGGUUGCCGAGGUACACGAGGUGUACAUGGUGGUAAGUGGCGAGAGCGUGUGUGACGAAGUACACCCCUGCAGGGUUAAUAUGAUCUAUUCGAAUAGCCGUGUCCGCGGUAAAGGACUUCUGGGUUGCCUAUAACAGUUCAUAGACAAGUGAAAGUGGAUACUCUAAAAUGCGCAAGAUAAGCGUGAGUGCUAUGGAUGGCGUUCUCGUAGGGAGACGGGAGCGAAUCCAUAGUGGUGUAUUGAGAUGGUGAAUAUGUGGACUCGUGUGCGCCACCUCAAAAGAGUUACUUGCAGUCAUAGUUUAGGAUAGCCACCGAGUCAAAGCUGGCUUGCUGCAGUUAAACUCCACCACCCCCUUUGUUGAUACUGAUGCAUAUGUAGAUAGUUCUGAUGUAAGUCUUGCUGGGUACAAUUGUACUCACGUUUGCCUAUUUUAUGUUUUGCAGAGAGACGUCAGUCUCGCCAGUAGUUCCGUGUGGACUUCGACGUUUAGCUUGUUACCUCAGCUACGAUCUUGUGCCCUCGGCAGGAUCUGGUAGAUAGUCAGGCUUCUCAGCCUUUUCAUUUAUAGAUGUCUGUACUCAGACAUGUUAAGCUUCCGCAUGUGUUUUGACUUGUAUGCUCUGAAUGUUGGGUCAUGAGACCCAUGUUUGUAAUAUCUGGCUCUUCGGAGCCUAAUGAAUAAAUACUCUGAGUCGUAGAGUCUUGUUGUGAUGCCAUGUUGUACUUGCACAUAUCGAGCAUAUUGUGUGUAUGGUUGAAAUGCUUGGUAUGUGUGGGAUCCGACAAUCUAGUUGUCUAUCCUUAGCAGCCUCUCUUAUGAGGAAAUGUAGUCUAGUGCCUCCUUGAGCCAUAGUAGUCCGCUACAGCCCGGUUCACCGGAGUCCUGCUAGCCCAGCACUACUGCUCUGGACACUUGACUGGCCGGCAUGUGUUUCAUAUCGUUCCUGUGUCUGUCCCUUCGGGGAAAUGUCACGCGGUGACAUCCGGAGUCCUGCCUAGCCUGCUACAGCCCGGAUUCCCGGAGUCCUGUUAGCCCAGUGCUACAGCCCGGAUUCGCACGCUGCUGACCGACACGUUCGAUGUUGAUUCAUGUAUGCCUGUCCCCAUACGUUAGUGCCGCUUUGGGUUCACGACUAGCCAUGUCGGCCCGGGUUCUCUGUCAUAUGGAUGCUAGCGACACUGUCAUAUACGUGAGCCAAAAGGCGCAAACGGUCCCAGGCCAUGGUAAGGCGACACCCGUGGGAGUACCGUGCGUGAGGCCGCAAAGUGAUAUGAGGUGUUACAGGCUAGAUCGGUGUGACUUGGAAUCGGGGUCCCGACACCAGGUGCUGAUGGUAGAAGGGCUCUCGGGUGACAGUGGAGUAGGCAGCAGUAUAGUAUCCCUCCGCACCAACAUCAGAUGCGAUAGCAAUGUGCCUGAAAGGGGAGGUGUCCAACUCCCGAUACUCUCCACGAAGACGUGUCAGAGCAGCAUAGGCAGCAUCGUGGACAGCCAUAUCGGUGGUCACACCAACACCAUGUGCGGUGUGCAGCACAGUAGUGGAGUCAUACUCCCGAGAGUAGAGGUGGACGAUGGCACGGUACUGCUCCUGGUUAAAGUCCUGGUACUCCUCGUAGACGGUGUACUCAGGGUGCCAGCGAUAACCCAGAUAGGUCAUCAUCUCAGCUAGCACCGCAGGUGAUCCCGAGGCACCAAUGGCCGUCGUGUGGCGCACGACCUGCCUCGAGGGUUCCAUCUGAAAGCAAAGACGUUUCAAAGGAGUCAAAUGACAGUGUGCGAAUUGUUCAAAAUACUAUUCUGAGAAACAACUAUGGCUUAUCCAUCUUUGGGGUGAACACGGUCACGGGAUCCUAGUGUUAAAGUUAGUAAAUUCGUUUAACCCGAGUAGAAGAGAGUUCAGAGUCCCAGAGUAAAGGUCGAGGAGUAAAAGAUACUAGUACCACCCAAUGGCGACGUGGGCCCGUAAGACACACAGCCAUGUUAGUAAAAGUUUUGUAAUGUCUAGACUCGACUUCGGCCAAGGAGUGUGGAAAGGGGGAUUCCUACAGGCAGUCGGCUCUGAUACCAACUUGUGACGCCCCCGAUUUGACCGUACACUAAUCAUGCACGCAAAUGUGUACGAUCACGAUCAGGGACUCACGGGAAGAUAUCACAACACAACUCUACAACAAAAAUAAGUCAUACAAGCAUUAUAAUACAAGCCAGGGGCCUCGAGGGCUCGAAUACAAGUGCUCGAUCAUAGACGAGUCAGCGGAAGCAACAAUAUCUGAGUACAGACAUAAGUUAAACAAGUUUGCCUUAAGAAGGCUAGCACAAAAGUAGCAACGAUCGAAAAGGCAAGGCCUCCUGCCUGGGACCUCCUAACUACUCCUGGUCGUCGUCAGCGGCCUGCACGUAGUAGUAGGCACCUCCAGUGCCGUGGGUGUCGUCGUCGACGGUGGCGUCUGGCUCCUGGACUCCAGCAUCUGGUUGCGACAAUCAGGUAGAUAGGAAGGGGGGAAAGAGGGAGAGAAGCAACCGUGAGUACUCAUCCAAAGUACUCGCAAGCAAGGAGCUAUACUACAUAUGCAUGGGUAUAUGUGUAAAGGGGCAUAUCAGUGGACUGAACUGCAGAAUGCCAGAAUUAAAAGGGGGAUAGCUAGUCCUGUCGAAGACUACGCUUCUGGACAUCUCCAUCUUGCAGCAUAUAGAAGAGAAUAGAGUGAAGUCCUCCAAGUAGCAUCGCAUAGCAUAAUCCUACCCGGCGAUCCCCUCCUCGUCGCCCUGUUAGAGAGCGAUCACCAGGUUGUAUCUGGCACUUGGAAGGGUGUAUUUUAUUCAGUAUCCAGUUCUAGUUGUCAUAAGCUCAAGGUACAACUCCGGGUCGUCCUUUUACNNNNNNNNNNNNNNNNNNNNNNNNNNNNNNNNNNNNNNNNNNNNNNNNNNNNNNNNNNNNNNNNNNNNNNNNNNNNNNNNNNNNNNNNNNNNNNNNNNNNNNNNNNNNNNNNNNNNNNNNNNNNNNNNNNNNNNNNNNNNNNNNNNNNNNNNNNNNNNNNNNNNNNNNNNNNNNNNNNNNNNNNNNNNNNNNNNNNNNNNNNNNNNNNNNNNNNNNNNNNNNNNNNNNNNNNNNNNNNNNNNNNNNNNNNNNNNNNNNNNNNNNNNNNNNNNNNNNNNNNNNNNNNNNNNNNNNNNNNNNNNNNNNNNNNNNNNNNNNNNNNNNNNNNNNNNNNNNNNNNNNNNNNNNNNNNNNNNNNNNNNNNNNNNNNNNNNNNNNNNNNNNNNNNNNNNNNNNNNNNNNNNNNNNNNNNNNNNNNNNNNNNNNNNNNNNNNNNNNNNNNNNNNNNNNNNNNNNNNNNNNNNNNNNNNNNNNNNNNNNNNNNNNNNNNNNNNNNNNNNNNNNNNNNNNNNNNNNNNNNNNNNNNNNNNNNNNNNNNNNNNNNNNNNNNNNNNNNNNNNNNNNNNNNNNNNNNNNNNNNNNNNNNNNNNNNNNNNNNNNNNNNNNNNNNNNNNNNNNNNNNNNNNNNNNNNNNNNNNNNNNNNNNNNNNNNNNNNNNNNNNNNNNNNNNNNNNNNNNNNNNNNNNNNNNNNNNNNNNNNNNNNNNNNNNNNNNNNNNNNNNNNNNNNNNNNNNNNNNNNNNNNNNNNNNNNNNNNNNNNNNNNNNNNNNNNNNNNNNCAAGUAGGAGGGGUCGUCGACUCCGUAGUCGAACUGGGCAGCAGCAGUGUCGGUCUCGUAGUCUACCGGAGAGAAGAGGGGGGAAGAAACAGUAAAUACAAUGCAAACAUAAGCAUGACGAUGCGUGACAUGACAAUGAGCGGUGCUAGGGGUGUCCUAACGCGACAGUAGGUGGUACCGGUGAAGGGGGGGACAUCCGGGAGGUAUUCCCGAUGUUUCGCGUUUUGGGACAGACGGACCGGAGGGGGAAAGUUGCUACUUCGAUAGGUUAGGGAGGUGUGGUGGAUGAACGGACUGCGUAUUUGGAUUCGUCUCGUCGUUCUGAGCAACUUUCAUAUAGAAAACAUUUUCAUCCGAGUUACGGUUUAAAAGAUAUGAAUUUUCAAAGUUUAUUUGAAUUUCUGGAAUUAUUUAUAUUAAGCAAAAAUGAAUUAUGACGUCAGCAUGAGGCAAUGCUGACGUCAGCAGGUCAACAGGUCGGCUGACCACUCAAACCAGACAGGUGGGUCCAGUGGGACCCACAUGUCAGUCUCUGUUAUUCUAAUAUCUAUUUAAACUAAUCUAACAGUAUAAUUAGAGGGGUGGGCCCCAUAUGUCAGUGAGUGUUUAGUUAAACUAAUUAUUUUUAUUUAUAAAACAUUUUCUUUUUCUUUUCUUUUUUUUAUAUUUUUGCGGCAGGGCCCUUAUGUCAGUGACUGGGCCUGCCCAGUCAGCAGUUGACUGGGUCAACCCAGUCAACUGGGGCCCGUGGGGGCCACUGGCAGGGGCACUGGGGUGGCCCCAGGCCAGCCACGUCGGCGGCCGGCGCCGGAGCAACGCCGGCGACCAAACACACGGCGGCGCGGCUCGGGAGGGGUACGGGUUUCACGUACAGGGGGUCUUCGGGGGCGUGGCUUGGCGCGUUCGACGCGGCUCGGCGUCGCGCGUCCAACGGCGGUGGUCGGAGGGGCUGGAACGGCCGGGGACGACCGCUACGAGCUCGCCGACGGCGAGGUGCUACGGGCUUCCGACGGAGGCUGCGUUAGAGCGCGCGAAUGGCCGAACUAAGUAGCUAGGCGGGUGCGGCACGGUGCGGUCAGGCUAGCGGGCCUACGCCCGUGACCAUUUGGUCACCGGAGACCCGCCGGCGGCGAGCUCCGCGGCGCGGCGUUCGGGCGCGCGUGGGGGAGCAGCUACGGAACGCGGGCGAGCUAACGGAGAGGGGGAGGAGAGGCGGGAGCUCACAGCGGAGCCGUAGGGAGUGGCAGUGAGCUCGGGGAGGGCGCGGGGUAGCCGGAAUCGGCGACGAUCGACGGCGGCCGUGCGGGGAAGACGCGCUCGGGGAGGUCGGUGCAGUGGCGCUCGGCUCGUUUCCGAUGGCGUAGUCGACGUAGUCGACGGCGGGGAGGCGUUCAGGCACGUCGUCGGGGCAAUCGGGGCACGGUGGCCGCGAGUUCGACGGUGAACGGCGGCGAGCACGCGUGGGCAGAGGGGNNNNNNNNNNNNNNNNNNNNNNNNNNNNNNNNNNNNNNNNNNNNNNNNNNNNNNNNNNNNNNNNNNNNNNNNNNNNNNNNNNNNNNNNNNNNNNNNNNNNNNNNNNNNNNNNNNNNNNNNNNNNNNNNNNNNNNNNNNNNNNNNNNNNNNNNNNNNNNNNNNNNNNNNNNNNNNNNNNNNNNNNNNNNNNNNNNNNNNNNNNNNNNNNNNNNNNNNNNNNNNNNNNNNNNNNNNNNNNNNNNNNNNNNNNNNNNNNNNNNNNNNNNNNNNNNNNNNNNNNNNNNNNNNNNNNNNNNNNNNNNNNNNNNNNNNNNNNNNNNNNNNNNNNNNNNNNNNNNNNNNNNNNNNNNNNNNNNNNNNNNNNNNNNNNNNNNNNNNNNNNNNNNNNNNNNNNNNNNNNNNNNNNNNNNNNNNNNNNNNNNNNNNNNNNNNNNNNNNNNNNNNNNNNNNNNNNNNNNNNNNNNNNNNNNNNNNNNNNNNNNNNNNNNNNNNNNNNNNNNNNNNNNNNNNNNNNNNNNNNNNNNNNNNNNNNNNNNNNNNNNNNNNNNNNNNNNNNNNNAGAGGUGGGCUGGGCCGGGGGGGUCGGGGGUGCGGCCCAGUUUGGGCCGGGGGUUCGGUCCAGGUGGGCCACGGGUCCAGUGGGGGGGGUGGGCUUCUCCUUUUUUUUUCUUUUUCUCUGACUGUGUUCUGUUUUCUGUUUUCUUUUUAUUUGUUUAUUUUCUUUUUUGUUUUAUUUCAUUUAAAAGUAUUUAGGUAUUUUAUAAAAAUGUGUUUUCUCCACCAUAAUUACCAGUGUAAUAUUUGGCACCCACUGAACAUUUUUGUUUGAGUUUUUGAAAACUUUUAUUUUUCACUUUAAUUAUAUUUGAAGUUUGAACUAGGAGUUUGAAAAGGAAGGUGAUUCAAAUGUGAUCAGCCCUGUUUAGCAACAUGAUUAGCUUAAUCACAGGGAGUUACUGUAGCAUGAUUCCCAGGGUGUUACAGCAUCAAACAACUUCAGAUUCAUAAUAUUCAAUCCAACAUAAAGAACCUCAAAGAGUGCCCCAAUAUUCCUACCGGAGAAGCAAGGACGAAAACGUGCAUCAACCCCUAUGCAUAGAUUACCCCAAUGUCACGUCGGGAAUCCGCGAGUUGAGUGACAAAACAUACAUCAAGUGAAUCAAUAGAACACCCCAUUGUCACCACAGGUAUCCCACGCAAGACAUACAUCAAGUGUUUUCAAAUCCAUAAUAGUAUUCAAUCCGAUAAUAGUGAAACCUCAAAGGUAAAACUCAAUUCAUCAUAAGAAGGUAGAGGGGAAGAAACACCAUAUGAUUCAACUAUAAUAACAAAGCUCACGGUACAUCAAGAUUGUGCCAUAUCAAGAACACGAGAGAGAGGGAGAGAUCAGACACAUAUCCACUACUGCAGGAUGCUGCUAACGCGACACUAUGAUCAGAGACCCUUCGAGAAACUAUGUGCGAUGCAAUAAUCGCAAACGGUGUUGUAUGAAAACCUUUAGAAAUGUGUAAAAUGUUUGCGAUGAUGGAUGCAUCAAACACGGUUCAAGUUUUAGUUGCGUGUGCGAUGAAGGGCAUAUGGUCCAGUUCAAUUAACUGUUUGCGAUGAGGAGGAACAAAAGAAAUGGGCAACCAGAUGAAGGCGUGUGCGAUACACAGCAUACGGUUCACUCGGAUGAACUGUUUGUGAUUAGGCAACACAAAAGAAACGGUCAGCCAGAUCAAGGUGUGUGCGAUAUACGGCAUGCGGUUCACUCGGAUGAACUGUUUGCGUUGAGACAUGAGAACAGAAACGGUUCAACUUAACAAGAUGUGUGUGAUACGCGGCAAACAGGUCUGCAAUCAGAAAUGUGUGUGAAGACUGAUAAUAACACAGACGGUUGCUGCUAAUAAGACGUGUGUGUUGUGCGAUGGGAUUGCAUAUAGAACAACAACAUAUAUGUACACACACUUAUAAGGACAUGCUUGCAUAACCAAAUUAAACAUCCACUUACAUAGGUGGCUACUACAACUAUGGCACUUGCAUACACCAAAGUAAACUAUUACAUGCAUAAUUACAUAGGUGGCUACUACACACAUGACAUUUCCACACACACACCAAUAAAGUAAACUAUAUAUUACAUGCAUGAUUAACUAGCAUAAACGAUCAUCUGAUCAUCAUCUACUUCUUGCGACGCUUGCUCUGCUUGUGGCUCGAUCCGGGCUCGUCGAUUUGGGUAACGAGGCACUUCCUCAUCUCAAUGAUCCGCCUGUGCAUCUCGUAGCAUGUGUACACACUCUUGGCCGCAAACCUGAGGUGAGGUUCAUCCAGUUGCUGCAUCCAGGCCCCGUGCCAGGAUAAGGGACUUGUUCUCUGGGCAUCCUGCUUCAUCUUUUCGUAGUAGGGGUCGAUGAUGGCCAAGGCGAGCUCGACCAGGGAAUCCUGCUUCGUGCUGCCCCAGACCCUGUAGUGGUCACGGAUUUGGACAAGGUUCUUGCAGGUCAAGCCCGUAACACUAGGCGCUUUUACAUCGUCUUUGGUUUCCAUCGUGGCAAACUUGUAGUCGGUGCUGUUGACAAACCUGUUAAAACGGUCGCAAGGCUCUGUGGCCAUGCAGUAGUGGUAGAUGAGGACAUGAUGGCGCACACACAGCUGGGCGACGGCAACCUUCUGAUCUAUGCCGGGAUGACCGGCGAUGUACUGGAGGUUGAUGCCGACCACCUUGUACUUGUC
rnacentral:lncRNA from 1 species